ACUGGGGAGGUAGGGGAGGCGGGGAAGGCGGCCAGCACUGGCGGCGUGCGGGAGAUGGGGCGAGUCGCGUUCGUGCGGGCGACAGGGCGUGCGGGCGGACGGGCGAGUCGAGCGGGUAAAUUUUUUUUAAGCCCUGCUACCCUUCUUGGGCUGGGCCAAGGUAUUGCACAAGCAAUACCGGGCCACAUUGGACCCUCCGCCUAUGGUUAUGAUAUGAUCCCACUAGAAUUAAUAGUUGAGAAAUCUCUAUUUUUUCAGUGACUGACAUGGUAGUUUAUAUGCUCAAAAUGGUUAAUACAUGCGGGUUUCUUUCAAGGAAACUGCUGGGUGUUAAUUUUCUAAUAACUUAGUCUACAAACAAAUCUAUAUAACAACAUUGAUCGUUUGGUUUUCUUUCCUUCUUUUUAAUGUAAACAUUUGACCGCAUAGCUUAGGAAGUCUCUAGUGUUGACUGUUGAUGUGAUUAAGAGAUCAUUCUAACGUGGACCUAUGAUAAAUGAAAACACUGUAGAUCUUUCUUUUCCCCACAAAUCAACAUAGCAAUUUCUAAUCCAUGAGAAUGAACGCCUUCAACAUGGAGGAGAGCAACGCUUUCUUUUCCCCACAAAGCAGUGCCCGCAAAGAUUAAUACUUGCAAAUUAAAAAUAUCAUCACGUUCAUUCUAAUGUACUCGAAAUUCUCAUGUUAAUUGGUGAAAAAAAUUACACCAUUUAUUGUCGUGGACCUACAUGAUAACUCGAUUUGAGUAGAUGAGGUGAAUAAACGUUACGGUUGUGGGAAGACUGCAAUGCAUCUGCGCGAAAGCAAUAGUGGCUUAUAGCAAAUUAUAUGUGGACAUGUGUUACUACGGGACAGUGUACUUGGCAAGCUUUUGAGUAUAUGUGCUUGCCAAAUUAGUUCUUCGUGACAUACGGUAACUAAUACCUGAAUAUAUAUGGCAUGUAUCAGUGAUCGGUUCCAAUCCGUAUUGAAAUCAGCUUUAGGUUCUUUCUUUAUUCCAGAUUUAGAUAUAUUUAGUAGUCGUAUUUGAAAUGGAUUUCUUAGAUUAGUCUAGACCGUCAGUGACGGGGUUAAAUACCAUGGGUACCCCUAAAUAUGGUUCUUAGGGAUCAAAAUGCGGGUCAGCCCAUCUCAACCAGAUGGCUUGGCCCGGUCAGGUCGGGCCAGAUGGCGAGGCGGAUCUGGCGGCCCAGCAGCAGGCCAGGUUCGGGACACAUGGUGGCCUCCCGACCCAUGACACGAACGGAAGAGGUUGGGGGACCAAGCAGCCCCAGAAUCGGACCUUAGGGCCAAGGCGACCUGGGGAAGGCGCGGGGCGGCAUUAAAUGCACCAGCCAUGACAAGACGUGCAUGCACGCCCCCCACCCGAUAGCCGGGGCCAGGGCACCACCGACAAACUGGAGGAACAAAGGGUGCCCCCGGUCAACCGGGUCAUCAUGACGCUGUGAUCAGCCCUCACGGGGGCCACGCUCCCUCCACAGGGCGACAGAAUAGCCUGUAUCGGGUCACCCUCCGCCAUCAGGUAUAGGGAGGGGGGCGCCGCGCUAGCAGGCCCCACCGUGGACCACGCGGCGAGAAGAGGAGCAGGGUGCCCGACCUCCCGAGCCCGGUGAGGGAGGCCAGGUGUGCCAACCAAGCAGGAGGUCCGCCCCGGUGCAUUAGGACAGAGGCGUGCCGCAAGUAUGAUGGCGCCAUUCCCUGCCGCGGGGAGGGGCGGGCGGACCCAAGAACAUGUCAGGCGGCGUUGCGAUCUAGGCGGACAGGUCACGAUACGGGACGCGGCAGAGCACGUUCCACCGAAGGAGCCCCUAGACGGACAGGUGUAGACCAGCCGACCUCGCUCUAAGUGCGUCGACCUUGGGGUUCGGGACACCCUCCCUCUCUCAGCAAUGUAACCCAUAUCACCACGUAUAUAAGGCGGAGCUGAGCCUUCUCUAUAAGAGACGACACGAGAAAACACACGCACACUGCUUGCAAGCGCCCCGUUGUAAGCACCCAGCACUCAAAUGUGAGGAAUACGAAGAACACCACCCAUACUGGAGGUAGGGCGAUUACCCGAACUAGCCUAAAUCCUUGCAUUCGAUUGUUAGCCACGGAGCCACGGAGAAGCGCGGCGCUAAAUUUACUAGCCGGUGAACGAAGCACCGACACGUCUUCAUAAAAUCCAACGGUCUAAAUCCUUCUCUUUUUUAGAUUAACGUGGAGUUUCUAGACCCUCUCGGCGAACGUGAUUGUUUCUUUUGACACUCUCUUAUUAAUAUAAUAAAUUACACAGUACAACUCAGAUACUCACAACAUAUGCACACUCACCCCUAUGAACGCACAUACGCAAACCCUACCCAUAUGAGCAUCUUCAAAGAUUGAGCCAGCAAAUUCUCGAGAUUGACAAAGUCACCACAGGCGCCUCGCUGUCGACGGGAACAUCGCCUACUACUUGAAAGUGUAUUUGGCCCCCCUAAGUGGGUUUUGGUGUUGAUGACAUACACAAUUAAGGAGCUAAGGAGUUUAUCGAGUUAUGGAUAGGUUAAAAUUUAAUGAAAUGAAAAAGAGCAAGAAAAGAUGCCAAAUUUGCUUAAAGUAUGGUGUUGAGCUUAAAAGAAGAUCUUUUAUUACUUUCUAUUUUGAAUUUGAGUAUAGAAAAUACCGUACUAUUAAGAGGGAUGCGAAUGGAUAGCAUGAAAGUGUCAAAGUGCUUAUUUGAGAUGCUAACCCUCAAAGAGAGACACAGAAUCGUGCACCUAGUUUUCUGACUGUUUCAGUGUGUGUCGGAAGUUCCGACCAGAGGUCGGAAGUUCUGACACCUAUCAGAAAUUCUUAGUAACUUCCGACAGGAAGUUCUCGGCUAGCUAAUUUUAGAUAGGUCGGAAGUAUACGAUCCCGUGUUGGAAGUUCCGACUAUCACUUAAGCAGUGCACUAACGGCUAGCUUUUAGGGCUCAGGUAUUUAUACCCCCUCAACCUUUCCUUUAUUUGCUGCUGACCUAACCCAAGACAAACAUCUCCAAGAGUAUUUACUACUCCUCCCCGAUCCCUCCUUGAGAUAAUACUUUAGUUGAUUUGAGCUAGAGCUUGGGUGAGAGCAAGAUUGAGGUGUGAGACUCAACCAUUUAAGUGAGAGGGCAGCUAAGUUCAUCUCAAGAGUACUUGAAGCAUCUUCAUCUUUCGAUUCACGUUUAUUACUCUUGAAGCUUACUUCUAGACGAUAUGGUGUCGCCCGUGGAGUGUCCUCUCAUGUGUAUGUGCCCCCGGAAGUUUGUAUUAUCCUAUCCUUUAUGGAUUUCAUAGCAAGUGACUCAAUUCUCCUUUGUGGUUGAUUGAGUGAGGUAAAGGGUUAGUGAAAGGCCUGGCUCUUUGUGAGUUCCUCAAUGGAGACGUAGCUUUCUUAGUGGGAGGGAACCUCGGGAACAAAUCUCUUAUAUCUUGUACUUAUUGCAUUUAUUUAGUUCUUGUUGAUCUAGAAUUGUUUUGUGCCGAUCUAUGUAAUCGAGUUGUUGUGCUUGCAAAGAUCACCUGCAGAAGUCUCCUAAUAUCAUUGCGCAACUUUUGAUUCAGCCAGGUUCUGCAGUUUCAAGUUUAAUUUUGAAUUUCGUAUAAGAACUUUUCUUUCGUCGGAAGUUCCGGUCCAGUGUCGGAAGUUAUCGGAAGUUCCGACAGAUUUAAUCGUUGCGAAGAAUUUUUUACAUUUUAUAGUUACGUCUAUUAACUCUCUCUCCCUGUAGACAUCACCAAAAUUCUUUCACCGCUAAAAGUACAAUACUGUUAAAUUUUAAAAAUUUUGCUCCUACAAGAAAUCGAACUCAGCACUUUCUCGUACUCAGCACCUAAGAUGACUAAGCUACUGCACUUUCGCCCUUGCCGUUCCAGCUCCUGCCACACGAACCCUGCCACCUGAGUGCGUGACCAUGAUCAAUUGGUCAAUUAACUAGUUUGUUUGUUUUUUUACAUCAAUCAAUCAACUAGUGGGCAGUGGCGGAUCAAAACCUAUAGUCUUUUUUCUUUGGAGGGCGGGGGUUAUUUUUGUUUCACAAAAAAAAAGAAAGCAUGGGUUUGUUGUAAGCAAUUUAAAGGAAAAAAAAGCCCAGCUGCAACGAAGCACGUGCCGUAGUAAUGAAAUGGCGUGAGGUCUCGCAAUCGCCCAGGCCAAGGAUCAAUUCGUGAUGUCACAUUGAAAUUAGUAACAAAAAGGGAGGGACAUUAGGAACGUAGAUGGCGCUGGUAUAAGUCAGCAUCACUUUUGCAAAUUGCCGGUCACUCUAGUUCCAAUAAUCAGUGGCUCACGUGAGCAUGUUUUAAACAGAAUCAAAGGUACCAUCUAGCAGGAUACUUAGUUGGAACUUGGGGAAGUUACUAAGUACCGGUGCUACUGGCUUUCCUUUUGGCUCUCACAAGCGUCAUGUUUGUUCCGGUUUUGAUUCACGUUAUUCGGUUGCGACCGUGUGAGGCACUAAGGUUUAGGGACUUAGGGUUGCAUCAGUCCUAUACCACUAAGCAUUAUCGGAGUUGUUGUACUUCUCACCCUUUUCUCUUUGUGCUUCAAUUCACAAGCAUCAUGUUAGUUUCAGUUCUUGAAAAGAAUAAGCGUUUUUAUCUUUCAUUUUGAAAGGUGACGCUCUCAUUCCUUUGGUGGAAAACAGAAGCCCAGAUCCAAAUCUUCAGCAUUUGGUUCGUGAGUUUAAACACUGCAUUCCUUUGUUGACAAAAUUUGACAUGUAUAUCAUUUCCACAUCAGCUCGUAGGUUGGAAACAAUAGAUAGCCAGAUCAAUUUCCCAAGGUUCUGAAAAAAAUACAGACCUACUAGUCCAAAUUGGCCCAUGAUAUUUGUCUGUUUCUAAAUUCCAAUAGGUGUAUGCAGUCAUAACAUACAGGCUAGAGAUGCUUUGAUCAUUUUAUCAAAGACAAACUUACUGCACUCUAUUAUUUUCUUCGUUAGGUGCAGUGGUAGGUGAACGCGACCCCCAUAGUGAAAACUUUCCCCUUUAAAAUAGGGUGAAGGUGACAUGAUCUUGUAAAUUAAUUAAUCCUAUGACCAAAUUAACAAAAUUACAUGUUGGCAAUCCAAGCACAACAAUCUUUGCUGAAACCACCAAUCUGUUACCAGGCAACUUCCAUUUAACCAAUUUAAUUUUGAGGUUACUGUCAUGCCUGUGUAAGCCACAAAAAAAAUAGUCGAUUCGACCUAGCGGUUACUCAAGAGAAUAUGUCACUUUAACGGUUUUCAUAUCACAUAAACCUCCGAAGGCGAUUUCGCAACAAACUCAUCAACUGCACUUUUUAUGCUGUGAAAUGCCAGUGCACAGCAUAUCUGCCUUGGCCACGCUUUUAAUUUGUUUUCCUUUUUCUCCUGUCACAUACCUAGCUCUCGUAUGGACAACCCAGUGGGCUUCUCUUUUGCACAUAUAUUCUCAUCUUGCCAAGAACAUAUUCCAACAUUAAAAGGUAUAUAUUCCGGCGAGAUCAACCUUUUUUAAAAUGCGCAAAUUCCAUCCGUAUGGCCCGGUAGCUUGCAUGGAACGCUAACGAAGAACACCGUAUCUUUGUUCGGACCAACAAGAACAAGAACACUGAAUAUUCGUGUUUCUUGAUCAUACAUGACAGAUAGUGUUCAUUCUGCCAAUUUUCAAAGUGAAAGAAAGAUAUUUUUUUCAGGGGAGGAGAAAAAUGGUUUGCGAAAAAAACACCAUUGCCAUACAAUGUGGAUAAGAGGGGACGAAACAGUUUCAGAUCACAAAGUUCAUCCGGGCCACAAUAAUUUUGGAAAUCCUACAGCAUGCUACUAGUAGGAAUGCACAAGGUGCAAUCAUACUGAGCAUCUACACGCAUAUCCUACCUCCGUGCGUGUGAUCCUCUCGAUGGAGCUUAUCGUUUUCAGACUCCAAGGUGUGAUCUGGCUCUGAUACAGAUAGAUGCUUUGUCCCUGCUUCACCGUUUCCAUGCUGCUAUUGGUGCUCUUAUCUCGUUCAGGCAGUUGCAGGACACAAGUUCCUAUGGUUACGGAUCGCGGUGAGGCAUGGUUGCUGUGCAGUGCAGUGUAGGAUACAAUUCGCCCAUGGAAUGGACCACUGUUUGGUGGCGCUGCAGUAUUCUUAGGUUUGUCCUUCUCUAGUGCAGUAGUUUUCAUGUGUGCAUAUGGCUCCAUUUGCAUUGUAUUUGUGGCUAUAUGCUAGUUGCUAAGGCCGUCCACAAUGUGCUUCACUUUAUUUUUUUGGAAAAACUGGUGGCAAACUUUGCUCGUAUAGGUUAAGUAGUCCCUAUUUGACUUUGAUCUUCCAGAGAAGAGUCCUCUUCAACUUGAAUUUAGAUGCAUCUAUUUUUUUAAAACACAAAAUAUCUGUUUCUAGAUUUUUAGAUAAAAUAAGCUGCAGACUAAACCUAAUCUAGAGCCAACUUUAUAAGAAAUACUUUAUAGAAGUAGUUCAGAUGGGUGCUAUCAAUUUGAGCAUCAGCUAGAGUGUCAUAGGAAAGCGGUGUGCUUAUGUUCUGAAACUUUAAUCAGGUGCAACCGUUCAAAGAACUAGGCUCAGACUUGGAUUGGAUGCUGUUCUUGAAAGUUACAUUCUGCUGUAAGUGUAGGGAGCUAGGGUCCAUAUUUCUGCCGAUUUCGGGCUAGUUCACCGUCCUGUCAAACUCUGCUUACUGCUAAAGUAACAAGGGCAUAGGCAAACAAGGCGAUUGCCAUUGGAUUAGACGAGCUGAUACUUGGUUUACAAGCAACGUACCACCUGACCUAAAACUCUAGAGCCAAAAAUAUAUUAUCAUGUGAAAGAAUAUAUAAAGUAUCUCAUUACUUAGCACCUAGGUUAAGCAGACGAACAUGGAUUAUAUAAUAAUUACCUGCAACAGUUGAAAUGUGCACUUGGAGUAGUCGGACACGUUUCAGCUGUCAUGAGGUGAAAAUGCUGAACACUAAUCAUCCGCCAGAAAACGAGCUGAAAACACAACAGAAGUUGUAAAACAAACUUCUCUGUUCUUUUCAGAUUUCACUGACGAUAACGAUCCAUGACUCUUUCAAAGUCUUCAUUGUCAGAGUUCAGAACAGCACUCCUGUCCUGACCUGUACUCGUUGCGAUACUCACACGUGGUCAGAAAACCAAAGUGCCACGCGUGUUAAUCCUAAGUAUCCAACCAUUGGCAUUAGCUAGACACAUGGUCAGGAGAGCAAUGACGCCCUGUUUAAUUUGCAAAGGAAUUUGUCCAUACACCAUGUCAGUUUCAUGGUCCAAGAAUAUGCCUCCCUUUUGUUAGGUACCGAACGAAUUGAAAUGUUCUGAUGAGUCAUCGCUGAUGAUGAGAUCGAUUGGCCAAGAGUCUUCAAACACCUAAUCAUAUUCCUAGACCAAUCAUCUUUGUUCUCAUAUAUUUUUGAAAGAGCUACUUUUGUUUUUGUUUAAACACACAGAUUUUUCUGAAGAAUCAACGAAGGGGUAAGGUAACCCAGCUAACAUCAUAAGACGAAUAGAUUCUCCGCAUCCCUCCCUGUGUAUCAAACAAUGUGACUCAUCCAAUGUUCAGCAAUGAGAUAAAUAGGAUUCACAUGUAGAAUCCAAAUCUUAUUCUAAACUUUCAAAAAAAAUCUUUUUCUAAACGAUUUGGCACGUCCUCGUCAGAUGCAUCGACCUGUUUGCUUUUAGUUUGGGGGUGCUUUUCACUUUUUGAGUAGUUGGCAUUUGGGAAUAGCGCCAAGGAUAACGAUCCUGCCGGAGCAAAUCAGGAGUCGACACCCACUUGGUUCAGGGUUACGGAGCCCACCCAUACUUAUCAGAAGAACCAAACACUUGUCAAGUUGUGGACGAACUGAUGAUCAGUGUCACAGGGAACACCAAUUCGAAAGCUAAUUACCAGCAUCUGCGGCAACGACGGGUGAACAACUUCCUGAAUUUUUCAGCUAGAAGAUGAAGAAACCAGUGCGAUUUCCUUAUGCAAAACCCUUCCCUGCUCUCCUUUUUCAGAAAAGAUCCUGAUUAGUGAUCACAAUCACCAGUCACUUGGACUAUGGAUGAAGAGGAGGAAAAAAACAAAAGCGCUGACGGCUGACUCCCUCGGCGAAUCCAGUUGGCGGCGCCGGCUGUACUAGGGCUUGUAUUCGCUGGAUGAGCAUGUACUAUGGCUCCUAUUUGCUGGAUCGUGUGCGUUGCAGCCUGGACGCGACUGUACUACGUACCAAUGCAUUUAUUUUAUUAGAAAUUUUGCUUGUUAUCUUGUUGUUAUUCGGAUCUGAAAUUAAAAAAAAGUAACAUUUGGGUUAAUCAGCAUGGGCCCUACGAGGCCUCCUAAAAAAAGUCUUUUUAUAAAGAGGGCCUUGGAAGUACACCAGCCAGGAGCCCACUGGGCCGCGUGGUCUCUAGCUACGCUGCGGUGUUCGUGGGGGCAAUUUCGCCAUUUUCUCUUGUUUAAUUUUUUGAUUGCAUUAUGCAACAGCCUUGCGGUUAUACAUGAACGCAGAUAUUCACGUACCCGCACACAUACUUCUCCUUAUAAAAAAAUAUGCACGCAACCCGCUCACAUGCAUGAGUACACGAUGAUUGAAUGUGUACGAAAAUAGUAGUCCCUCCUACAUCUUUCGAUGACAAUGGUGGAAAAUUGAGCAUAAGAGCAACCCAAAACCAAAUCAAAGUGGAAAAUUGCAUAUAUUAAUUCAAACAAUUUUUUGGUGAUAUAUAUAUAUAUACAAGACUAAACUUAAUUUGAAGUAGCCUAACCCAAUGGAAUUAAACAAGCAUUUAUGUCACCAUGCCACCAUACCAUUUUCUUGUUGCCUAUCCAGCCCAUUAUGAGGGCACCUUUCCUUUUUUUUUGGCAAUAUAUAUAAAAAUUCCAACGCUUUUAAUAUAUUUUUAACUAGGCUAUUUCUCCACCUCCUCUUCCUUCUUCCUCCCUCCGCCUCGCCUCCACUCUUCCAUUCCGUCCCCCCGAUCUCGCCGGGAUCCCCUCGGCGGCGGUGGCGAUGGCGGGCAACGACAACUGGAUCAACAGCUACCUCGACGCCAUCCUCGACGCCGGAAAGGCGGCCAUCGGCGGCGACCGGCCCUCCCUCCUGCUCCGCGAGCGCGGCCAUUUCUCCCCCGCGCGCUACUUCGUCGAGGAGGUCAUCACCGGGUACGACGAGACCGACCUCUACAAGACAUGGCUACGCGUACGUCCGUCCCCGAUGCGCCCGCCGCAAUUCCACCUCCUACCUUCUGUUGCUGUUGCUCUGAUUCCGUCACCGAUCUGGGCGUGCGGUGUCUCCAGGCGAACGCGAUGCGGAGCCCGCAGGAGAGGAACACGCGGCUCGAGAACAUGACGUGGAGGAUCUGGAACCUCGCGAGGAAGAAGAAGGAGGUGAGCUCGGUUCUUUCUCCGGUUGCUUCUCUCCUUGGACUGUGCUAGCUCAAAGUAUCGUUCGACGUUUGAUGGGGGGUUUGUGGCGACCAUUCUGCCUAGAGGUUAAUGAUUAGCUCGAGCGAGUUAGAUCGACCAGUGUUUUUUUUCUUAGUUAUUGCCAGAAAUUGCACAGAUGUUGCUAGGUGACUUUUGGACGCAACGAGAUCAGUUAAGAUGAGAUGCAUAAACGGAGCACCAUAUUGACUUGUGAAGAGUUUGCUGUCAGACGGCAUUGCCUUCUGAUACAGCUUUUGACGUUACAGUUUGCCCACUUCUAAAUCCUCAGUUUCUCAGCUGCCACUUCUAUGAUACUAAUCACUGUUAGUUUGUAAAUGUCUUUCCUUGUCCAGAAGCUAAAGCAAUUGUGACAGAUGCUGGGAACAAGGGAAUUUCAUGGAUGUCCACUACCCACUAGCUGAGUAGCUGAGCCAAUUGGGCAUGCUGACCCGGCCUAUCCCAUUCCAGCAUCCUUUUUGUAUAUUCCAAAGCUCUCCAUGGCUAUUAUUGUGUUCUCUGGACACAUCACAUUCCAUUUUGACUAUAGUUCCCUGUCAUAUAACAAAGCACUUUUGCACAAUGGCACAGUAUUCUUAGUCUACCUCCGAUUUGUCACUUCUCCUGAGCUUUUACAUUUUAUACCUCUUUGGUAACUUGUAGUAUCCAGCAUUGUGUUAAUCGUACCACAUAGUUCUUUUUAUAUCUAAGACCGCAAAGGUCCUGAUCUUCUGUUAUGCUUCCAUGAGAGGCUAAAUACUAGAGUUGUCUGUUCUUCUCUUUCUAAAAUUGUCCUCUGUUUUUCAUAUGCAUAUUUGGAUAUGCAGUUCGAGAAAGAAGAAGCCUGUCGGAUGUCGAAACGCCUGCCAGAAACUGAGAAAACACGAGCUGAUGCUACUGCAGAUAUGUCUGAAGAUCUGUUUGAAGGAGAAAAGGGAGAAGAUGCUGGUGAUCCAUCUGUUGCGUAUGGUGACAGCACAACAGGGAGCUCACCAAAGACAAGUUCAAUUGACAAGCUAUACAUAGUAUUGAUAAGGUAUAGAUGAUACUCCUUUACAAUACCAGGUUCUCCCACAUCUCUUUCCGUAGGGAGCAAGGAAGAAAUGAUUUUCUUCUAUUCUUUUAGUGUUUGAAGGGGCACUGAUUUAUUUGUGACAAAUGCUUCAAGGGUGUUUCUCUACUGUCACAUGUUAGCAGAAACCCACAUGGAUUGCUCAUGAUUUAGUGGUAUAUGAGCAGCUAGCCGGUUUUACAAUGGCUAAUAUGCAAUUUGAACUCAUCACUGGCAUAUAGCCUUCGUUAAUCAGUCUGCGCUUCAUACUGCAGUCUACAUGGUCUUGUCCGUGGGGAGAAUAUGGAGCUUGGCCGGGAUUCAGAUACGGGCGGCCAGGUAAAUUUUCUGCACUCAGUCAAUAUGUAUAACAGCUUUUAUUGACCUGAACAAGUAUAUUGUGCAUACUUCCAAUAUUUGACAACUCAAGUUUGACUGGAUGAUUAUUUCUUAAUAAACUACAAAGGCUUCUAUUUUUUCACAACUCAUAUUUUAUUGAAAAAUGUAUCUUAAUGGGCUUCAUACUGUGGUUGUCUUCUAACUAUAAUUAUUGGAUACUUUUCUUCCUGUAUGAGAAUUUCUAGUAUUUUGCACUAUCGCUUGAAAACAUCCAGACCUUGUGUGAUUGAUUUUAGUAUUUGCUAGGUCACACUCCUUUUCUUCAUUACAAAUGAACAUACCCUAGGAAGCCACAACACAAUCACAUUUAUGUUUUAUCAUCUGAUGUUUCCCACCUAGUAAAAGGUCAGAUGAGUAAAUGAUUUAAUUCAUCAUUUUUGUAGGUCAAAUAUGUGGUCGAACUUGCUAAAGCAUUGAGUUCAUCUCCUGGAGUUUAUCGGGUUGAUCUGCUAACAAGACAAAUCUUAGCACCAAAUUUUGAUCGUAGUUAUGGUGAACCUGCGGAAUUGUUAGUUUCAACAAGCGGUAAAAAUUCUAAACAAGAAAGAGGAGAGAAUAGCGGUGCAUAUAUAAUUCGGAUACCUUUUGGUCCAAAAGACAAGUAUCUGGCUAAAGAACAGCUAUGGCCUUUCAUUCAAGAAUUUGUUGAUGGUGCACUCAGCCAUAUUGUGAGGAUGUCAAAGGCCAUAGGUGAAGAAAUUGGCUUCAGGCAUCCAGUAUGGCCUGCUGUGAUUCAUGGGCAUUAUGCCAGUGCAGGAAUCGCUGCUGCUCUACUUUCUGGAGCACUUAACCUUCCUAUGGCGUUCACAGGACAUUUUCUUGGGAAAGAUAAAUUGGAAGGACUUCUCAAACAAGGGCGUCAAACAAGGGAACAAAUAAAUAUGACAUACAAAAUAAUGUGCCGAAUUGAGGCAGAGGAGCUAUCUCUUGAUGCGUCUGAGAUCGUUAUUGCAAGCACUAGGCAAGAGAUAGAAGAGCAGUGGAACUUGUACGAUGGUUUUGAGGUUAUACUUGCAAGAAAGCUUCGAGCAAGAGUAAAACGCGGUGCUAAUUGUUAUGGCCGUUUUAUGCCUCGUAUGGUUGUAAGUACACACAUUCUACUACCCUCCUGAAGCAACUUUGAUCAUUGCAAGUAUAUUAUUUCUAGGCAAUUAGCACAAGAUUUAAUUGCACCAAUUGUCUAUCGUUGCUUUGAUUUUCCCUUAUGAUGUAUUUUCUAUUCAUGGCUUUUGCAGAUAAUUCCUCCUGGAGUUGAAUUUGGUCACAUCAUUCAUGAUUUUGAUAUGGACGGUGAAGAAGAGAAUCCAUCUCCAGCAUCUGAGGAUCCACCUAUUUGGUCUCAGGUCACUGCGUUUUCUUCAGCAUACUAUACACACUAAGUCAUCAGUGAAGCAUUUAUUCUACUGUUAACGUUGAUGGUUUCUUUUGACCUGUCAAACCUGUGUUUUAAAUUUCAGACACUGACUAUAAAUAUGUUUACAACUGAUCGCAGAUAAUGCGCUUCUUUACAAAUCCUAGGAAGCCUAUGAUUCUAGCAGUUGCUCGUCCUUAUCCUGAGAAGAAUAUUACAACACUUGUAAAGGCAUUUGGUGAAUGUCGGCCACUAAGGGAGCUUGCAAAUCUUGUAAGAUUGAUAUUGGUUGUCCAUAUAUUUUUUUUUUGUUACAGGACCAUAACCACAACACUUAGGAUGUUGAAUGAUCUUACUGUUGUGCUUACUUGUGGUUUUAUAUUGCAGACAUUGAUAAUGGGCAAUCGUGAAGCUAUUUCUAAGAUGCACAAUAUGAGUGCUGCUGUUCUGACAUCAGUUCUUACAUUGAUUGAUGAAUAUGACUUGUAUGGCCAAGUGGCAUACCCCAAGCAUCAUAAGCACUCAGAAGUUCCCGACAUUUAUCGUUUAGCUGCAAGAACAAAGGUAUGCUCUUUUCCCUUUGGUCUGGAGCAAAUCAUUUGAGGUUCUUAUCUUGUACUUGUUUAUCUGGUUCUAGCAUAGAAAGUCAUACAUUUGAGACAUAUAUAAAAAAAUCAAGUAAAAAGCAAGAACAAAUUCUUGAUUCUGUGAACUAGAAACCAUGGUUUAUUUAAUAGUAUCGUUAGCUGAACUUGUUGUGUCCUUAGUACUUGUGUUCCUUUACUAUACACUUGCAUGCUGAUCAUAUGUUGAUCUUUCUGCAGGGAGCUUUUGUAAAUGUAGCUUAUUUUGAACAAUUUGGGGUUACCCUGAUAGAGGUCAGAACUAUUGAGACUCCAAUUUACUGUUGCCGCUAUUACAGUAUUAUCUUGUCUCUGUAUCCUAAUAACAACCGAUUUGCUGUAUCCAUGAGCAGGCUGCUAUGAAUGGUUUGCCUAUAAUUGCGACAAAAAAUGGAGCACCUGUUGAAAUUAAUCAGGUGUGUUUCCUUCCAUUAUUCCAUUAGUACACACACUUUUUCUUUGGAAAAUAUGUCAACUAAUCGCAAUGCAUCAAUAUAUCGGUUUUCUUAUUGAUGUUAAUGCAGGUCCUCAACAACGGUCUCCUUGUUGAUCCACAUGAUCAGAAUGCCAUUGCAGAUGCACUCUAUAAACUUCUUUCUGACAAACAACUUUGGUCAAGGUGCAGAGAGAAUGGACUGAAAAAUAUUCACCAAUUCUCAUGGCCUGAGCACUGCAAGAAUUAUCUGUCAAGGAUAUUAACUCUUGGCCCGAGGUCUCCUGCUAUUGGUGACAGAGAGGAGCAGAGUAAUACACCUAUUUCAAGAAGGAAGCGAAUCAUUGUUAUUUCUGUGGACUCUGUUAGCAAGGAAGAUCUGGUCAGGAUCAUCAGAAAUGCUAUUGAGGUCAUACGUACACAAAACAUGUCGGAUUCAACUGGUUUUGUGCUGUCAACUUCACUGACAAUAUCAGAGAUAUAUUCAUUGCUAGUACCUGCAGGCAUGCUUCCCACUGAUUUUGAUGCUUUCAUCUGUAAUAGUGGGAGUAACAUUUACUAUCCUUCAUAUUCUGGUGAAACACCAAACAAUUCCAAGAUUACGUUUGCAUUAGAUCAAAAUCACCAGUCACAUAUCGAGUAUCGUUGGGGAGGAGAAGGCCUCAGGAAGUAUCUAGUGAAGUGGGCCACUUCAGUGGUAGAAAGAAAGGGAAGAACAGAGAGGCAAAUUAUUUUUGAAGAUCCAGAACACUCUUCAACCUAUUGUCUCGCAUUUAGAGUGGUUAAUCCCAAUCAUGUAAGCCCAUUAAUUUUCAAGUCAUAUGUUACUUUCUUGAAACUUUGCAUGCACAUCCUUUCAUUUUGAGUUUUUACCACAUUUCCCUUUCAUGACGUCUGACACUCUGACAUGACUAUUUUCUUAUUGUAGCUUCCUCCUUUGAAGGAGUUGAGGAAGUUGAUGAGAAUCCAAUCUCUCCGUUGCAAUGCAUUGUAUAACCACAGUGCUACCAGAUUAUCCGUAGUCCCUAUUCACGCAUCACGUUCUCAGGCUCUAAGGUUUGCCAUUUUUAUUUAUUUAUAUUAUUUAUAAAUUCUUCUUCGUCCUGCCUUUUACCAGCCUAAAUCUUUAAGUUAUAGUAUAUGCCCUAAAGUUUGUCAUGGAUUUUACCAACACUAUCUUAUGUGCCCUAAAGUUCCUAAAGUUUACUGAAUAGAGAGCUUUGUGCAUUACUCCAAUAAGCUCUUUGUCUGCAACUGUGUGUAGCAUAUUGUUACCAGUGUUGACAAUUUUUCUUUUGCUCCAUUAGGUACUUGUGUAUACGUUGGGGGAUAGAGGUACCCAACGUCGCAGUCCUCGUCGGUGAAAGUGGUGAUUCAGAUUACGAGGAGCUGCUGGGGGGCCUCCACAGGACUAUCAUCCUGAAGGGUGAGUUCAACAUCCCUUUAAACAGGAUCCACACCGUCAGGAGAUACCCCUUGCAGGAUGUCGUCGCACUCGACAGCUCCAACAUCAUUGGUGUCGAGGGUUACUCGACCGAUGACUUGAAGUCUGCCCUGCAGCAGAUGAGUAUCCUGACGCAAUAACACCUCCAGGGAGCUUCUGUUCCCCCAUACCACAUGAACUAGAAAAACAAAAGGAGACCGAAACCAAGUGUCAAUGUUUCCACGUCUGAUGGAGACGCGAUUUUGUUUGUAGGCUGUAGAGGUUGUGUUUGUGUGUGCGGUGGUGGUGGUGGUGGUCAAUUCUUGAGCUGUGAAUAACUGCCCUCCUUUGUUUGUACCAAAUUUUGAAGUGAGUACGUACAUUACCACAUACUGAUGCUGGAAAAACAGAUGCGAAAGAAAAGAGUGGUUCGGAACGGCAAUGUUCCAAUGUACGCUAUUGCUGAGCCUGGAAAAUGGGCUCCCCUCUUCAUCAGUUACCUGUCUAGUUCGUUUCAAAAUGAAAAGUUACCUGUCCAGUUUGUUUUGCCUUUUGAACAUUGUAUCAUCUGGAUAGUUACCGAGACACCCAGCUCUCCGCCUCUCCCCCUCUCCGGUGAGUCUCGCGACCCACGCGCGCCCACAGGCUGCAGCUGGAGCGUGCUGUUUCAACGGCACAAAAUCGCUGGGAGCCGAUACCGUGGAGCGGAGCAACGAUCCAUCGGAACAGCACGGAUCUGUUCCCCGGACACGUCAGCAGGCGCCAGGCGCCAGGCGAGCUUAAAAAGGGUGGAAAAAAAGUUCGUGGUCGGCGAGUGGGAGGCCACCUGGUCGACCAACGGAUAACGCCGGGGGCCGAGCAGAAAAGAGAGCACGAUACCAACGCCCCUCCACCGCGCAUCCAGGUCUCCAUCAGAGUUUUUUCCAAGCGAAAAACAGAGGCUGAGAAGCGUGAGCUAGGAUAAUGCCUCUACGGAGAUCGAACUAGCAAGGCACGUACAGAUGUACUUGCCCAGCUGGUGACAGACAGAAUUCUAGUAAAGCCAUGUGCCGCAGUUAACCGUUUCAAGAGAAGAUAUUUUUAUACACCUAGUUACCAUAGGUUUUUUGACAGAUACCACACUUUUAAUGCAGUAAUGAUGAUGUGCCAAAAUAUAUCUUACACUUUGCAGCAACAAAAAUAAAAAUAUUCGCCAUGACGUAUAGGCUAGACUAUGCUUACUUAAGAAAAAAAUGAUGGCUACGGUUCGAGGAGUAAAAAAAAAUACUACGAAACCAUAAGUAUAUUCCUGAGUUAGCUAAACUUAAAUUUUUUCCUAAUGCUACGUGAAUAAAAACCUCCAAGUAAGAUUACCUGGAGACGCCAAAUAUACGAGAUCGAAAACAUUUUUUUUCCAGCUCUAGUUUUCAUGUACUAUCUCAUUAGAAAAUUUUACAAGUAUAAAACAUAAUGCAGAAAAUCUGGAUUAAAUUGUUACCAGCCUCCUAGUGCUCUGCGUAGACAUUCCAUUCCAGCAGCGAAAAGCCUCAAAAGACAUCUGGGAAAUGGGAGAAAAAAACACACACAUUGCAGCGUCCACAAAAUGUGACGUGACCCACCCAGCGUCGCAGCCAUCAAACCCAACCCAACCAACCAAGCAAGCAAGCAAGCAAAUUCCCCAUCCCCGAACCACCAGCGCCGCCGUCUCCGGCUCUCCGCCGCCACCGUCCGGCCACCCCGCGCGCGCCUCCCGGGAGCACAAACCCAAGCCCCGUCCCGCCGUGGAUCGCCGUGUGGGGAGGGGCGUACCGGCCGGGCCCCGACGGGCCAGAUGGUCUCCGGCGCCGGCGGGGGCGAGUAGCGCGGUUGGUGGCGACGAACGGAUCGGCGGCGCUGUGAGGCGGCGGCGGGGGCGGGGGCCACCAUGUCUGCGGUAGUGUGCGGCAAGAGGUCCUCCUCCAUCUUCGGCGACGAGCUUAUACCUUCCUCUUCCUCCCCUCCGUCCCCUCCCCAUCACCAUCACCCCUCCAAGCGGGCCCGCUGCUCCUCGGCUCGCCGGAGGGAGGCGCUGCUCCACCACCUCCUCCCCCUCUUCCCGGACAUGGAUCCCCAGGUUCGUUUGCGUGCUUUGUUUAUCUAAAGUUAGACAAAAUUCGGUGAGAGCUGGCGUUAGGAUGCGGAAAUGUGGCACGUUUGGUUCUAACAAAAUUUUCUAUUUCGUGGGUAGCGGCGUUUUAGAAUCUAGAUCUUGCUACUGCGAAUCAGAUAAGGCUGCUCCAGUUAGGUGCACCUAGAUGGUAUCGAUUUUGGUGUGAGCACUUGGAUGUGAAAAACACAGAUUCUUAUGGUAGUAGAUUCUUGAUUAUGCAAUUUUUGCAUUCUUUCAAGAUUUUCUGUAAGCUAUAGUGUUUGGGUGAACCGUGACUCUCGUUUUUUAAAGUUUUGGUUUUUAUUGUUUAAUUUGGUGUGAGGCAUUUUACUAUAUGAAGUCGGGUUGAUGCCUUCAGAUGAUGGGCAAGUCUGUUUAUAAGUGAAAAAGUGGAGCUAAAAUGUUGACGUAUGCCUGUUCAAUUUUUACACAAUGCUUAUAAAUUAAACAAAGAAUGGCAUGUGGGUGUUUAUCAAGCAGGGAAAGUACAAAUACUAACAUGUGAAAGUGCAGUGCAUGCAACUUGUUGGCUGCUACUAUAGCCAAGCAAGAAAUUUCCAGUUUGAGGAUAUAAUAGUUCAUAAUUGCCCAUAUGGCAAGAUUAUCUCAACCUUCAUCUAGUUCUGUGCCUUGAUUUGAAUACCCACCAAGAAGUUUGAUAUUCUGACUCCUGAGCAUUUCUCAGAAUCUUCAAAAGUUAAUUAUUUAUGAACUGUCCAGUUUUCUAUAGGCAUGGAAUUAAUUGAUGCCACGUACUGCGUUUAUUUGAAGCUCACGUUAUGUUCGCAAGUUCAGGAAGCUUUUUUCAUAGUAGCAUGUCUCCUUUUCUUCUAGCACUUGGAGGUGCCCUAUGUGAUGCUAUUUAUUUUGUUGAAUUACAAUUCUCACUGCAUUAUUUAUUGAAAACAGUGCUUUCAAUCAUAUGAAUUCAAUGAAACCAGUGUUUUAAAUAGUGAGCUAUAGUGGCGCCAUAGUUUCUGAUGCCAGUUGCUGCCACGACAGCAUUAUACCAAAUAGCGGGCUACAGCGGCGUUAGAAAGAUUGAGCAGUGCUCUCCGCUAAAUUUUAUAGCCUGCUAUUUAAAACACUGAAUGAAACUAGAUAUUUAUAUCAACUUUGUUUGAAAUGUAUUGCAUUACUGUUAAAGAUGCAGAUGAUACUGAUAGGUUGAAUGUAUAUAUUCGACAAUCACCCACCUAUUUUGAUAUAGCAAGCUUUUGGAAAAACCUAUACCCUUUUGUGUCAGUUAACAGCUAACAAUAUUUAUAUCCAGCUAACAAUAUUUAUAUCGGUCUAUGUCAUGUGUCCCACACAUAUAAGAUUUUCUCACGGCGCCUUGGUAUUCACAUACACAUAUAAGAUAUAGUUAUGCGGUUUUUUAUCUGCAGCUAGGCAUUUCGUUUGAACAUUACCACUUUUUAGAGACUGGCAACGAUAGGAUUGUAUUCUUGAUGUAUAUUUAGCUUGCCUUGGUAGUGAAUGAAUCAAGGGAUAUGAUGUUGAUUUUAAUUUGUAUUAUACUGAUUUUUAAAAUGAUGUCAGUUGCUUGAAAGAGCUCUUGAGGCAUCUGGAGAUGAUCUAGAUUCUGCAAUAAAAAGUUUGACUGAACUGCGUUUGGAGUCAGCUGAGGCUAUCCUAUCCGCUACUGUUGGUGAAUCCGAGAAUGGUCUAUCGGCAGCUCUUAAGUUGUCGGCUGAAGGUAUCGUGAUUGGAUUUCAUUAGAAGAAGUUGCAUGGGAAAAAUUGUAGCAUAUAUUAGUUGUGCAUUCACAUGUUUGAUUACUGGCAAGAACUUUAUUAGAUUAAUGUUUGCUACAAUUACAAAUUCCAUCACUCGCUUGGUGUUGCUUAAAUAAUUUUUGGACAAUGCCAUCAAGGAGGCGUAUUUUGUUGUCUUUCCAAAAUUGCAGCAUAUGCCUAUUUCCUUGUAUUAUCAAUGUUUAUUUGAGUUAGCAGUGAAUGCCUGUAUGUUGUAUCAACUGUGCCAACCAUCUCAGUUUGGCUGCUGUCUUUUCUUUUUCUUGGGUAUUACUUAGGCUUCUAUUUGUUAUAGGAUAUGUAUCAUUUAGAAAUCACCUUAUUUUCUACAUCCUAAUAAAUUAUCUCCUUUGAUGCUAACCUUUAUGAUUCUCCAUCUUUGACAGGCACUGUUAGUAAUGGCCAUUUGGGUGUAGUUACUGAGCAGCCCCCUGCAACUGAUAAUGAUCAGACAAAUAAUCAGAGCUCCGAAUGGGUUGAGCUAUUUGUUGGAGAGAUGAUGAGCUCCUCCGACAUAGAUGAUGCACGAGCUCGUGCCUCUAGGGCUUUGGAGGCAUUUGAAAAAUCCAUCAUGGAUCGAGUAGGGGCUGAAGCAGUGCAUAAUUUACACAGGGUACUAUAGCAUGCAUUGCUUAGCAUUUUAAUCUGUUGGGCGUUGGGAAGCCUAAAUGGUUAUGUUUUCACUUGUGCUUAGGAAAAUGCGAUGCUGAAGGAGCAACUGUCAAUAAUACUGCGCGAGAAUGCUGUUCUGAAGCGGGGUGUUGCGAUACAACAUGAGCGCCAAAAGGAGUUUGAUGUGAGGACUCAGGAGGCUGACAGCCUGAAACAGUUGGUAUUGCAGUAUCAGGAGCAGCUAAAAACUCUUGAGGUACUCCCUGUUAUCACCUCUAGCAAUUUUGACCAUUCAGUACAAAAGGUUAAAUCUGGGAAUUGUGGUUCAUUGCAGAUAAAUAACUAUGCACUUAGAGUGCAUCUGAAGCAAGCUCAGCAGAACAAUUCUAUGCCUGGACGUUUCCCCCCUGAUGUCUUCUAAGAAAUGUGGUGGCCAUGUACCUCUCAUACUAAACAGCAUGAUAUAUUUGAAGUGAGGGAGAGGGAUUCACGUGUUGCUACUGUGAUAUAAUAGUAACUCGGGACCUUUAGGUCGAGAGCUGAAAUGUUGCAUAUACCAUCAUACCACCAAUCAUCUGGCUUAUGCAGCGAGAAAGCACCAACAUCAAGGUCCUGAGAUCCUAUGUGGUUUGAAGUGGAGAUGAAAGGGCAUUUUAGGGUUGGCGGUGCACCUGGUGCUUACUGCCUGCUUGUAACAUUAUGUUUUGCUGGGUUUGGAAUUGUAAGAACAGAUGCUCCUACAUUGUAAUAUGGAAUACAUAAGAAUCAAGUGAUGUAUUUAUAAUAUUGAUAGAGAGAAGAAUGCUCUGUCAGUCGGAAGAAUCAAGCGAUGUAUCUAUAAUAUUGAUAGAGAGAAGGAAAGUUUUGUCAGCUAGAAAUGUUCAUGUCUAAGAGACAUCUGCAAUAUAGGCAUCUAGAGCACACGUUGAGGCAUGAAUAUGCUUCAUAUUCUCGCCUGCCUGGUGGGUGGAAAUGUAGACGUAAAUCUUAGAUGAUGGAGAGAGAUGCUUUCUUAUGCCCUCUUUAUAAAAAUGAUUUUUUUCGUGCAAUCUAUUGUCUAUAUAUAAACAUGUCGUCAAUAGUGGCACAUAGGAAAUUUAACACGCGAAAUUACUAUAAGACGUGUGUUCGUUUUCUAGAGUCUAAAGUUUAGAGGUGUCACGUUAAAGAGAAUUUUAUCAUUUAGAAGUAUUAAAUAAAGUCUAAUUACAAAAUUAAUUGCAGAACCAUAGGACUAAUUCACGAGACGAAUCUAAUGAGGUAUAUAGUCCAUAAUUAGCGGAUAAUUUAAUAAAAUUCUCUUUGAUAUGACGGAUCUAAACUUUAGAUUGGAGAAAACGAAAGCACCGUUAAAAGCAAUUUGAUAGAUGGACCCAUGGUCCGAUAGCCAGCAUAGUAAUCCACUCGGUCCGUGCGAGGACGCUGUCCCGUCAAUGCCGCCGCUCUCCCAGGGCCGGCAGGACGGCGGCCGGCGACGCCGGACGCCGUUCCGCAAUACCCAGGGCCUUGAUGUGACGCUUUUCUUGGCAGGGAGGUUAGAAUCGACAUGAAAAAAAAAAAGACAGCCUCUUCCAGAUACGAGCUGAACCAUAGUUUGUACAGCGACACCAAUAAUUCAGGCCGCUUUAUUCUUUUAUGAAGUUGAUUCAAACUCAGAUGUCUAACAGGUUUGAAAAUUGAAAAUAGGGUUUUGACACCUGCCAGAAAUACAAACAAAUACUCAUGGUUAAAGUUGAUGAAGGAGGUUUCCAAGGAAAAGUGGUAUUUGCUAAAAAUACACACAAGUAAAUUUCAGUAUGUUGGAAAGUUGAGAAAAAUUCAAAAAUUUUAGUGAUUUUUAUCAUGUGGCAAAACACAGGGUUUCAUUUGCAUGUAUAUACACACCACAUUAUGGUAAAUAUGAUCUAGCCGCACAAUCGCGUGGGCUAUUUCCCUUGUCGUUCUUAAUACAAGUUACUUUUCAUGCGCUGGAACAACAUGGCUUCCAUAAAAAUCAGAUGGCAUUGGGUUUGAGUGCACAACGCAAUACAAUCUGUCAGUAGAAUAUCAUUUAUGUGAAUUCAUUUAUAAUACCUUCUUAGCUAUCAUUUAUAUGAGAAUUCAUUUAUGAUACUAUCUUCUUAUCUCUCCUUCCACAAUACAAUCUGUCAGUAGAUCUAAUAAUCUCACAACUCAGAUUGCAUAUCAAUCAUAGCUAGGCUAUAAUGCUAGCUUUAAGAAGCUACUGUGUUGCUUGAAGGGACACACGAACAAUGGGAUGCAGAAGCAAGUCGUUCUUCUUCCGAACAGUGAUGCCAAUGUCCUCAGCCAUGUCCAGCUCACUCGGCUUCAACCCGUCAGCGAGCUUCCAGUCGAAGUGGUAGAGCAAGGCUGCGAGUGCGAGCUCUAUGUUCGACUGCGCAAACACCAUUCCCGGGCACAUUCUUCUCCCCGCGCCAAACGGUAUGAACUCAAAGUCCAUGCCCUUGAAGUCGACUGUGCCGGACUCAAACCGCUCCGGCUUAAACUCCUCCGGGUCAUCCCAGUACCUAGGAUCCCUGCCGAUCGCCCACGCGUUCACGAACACGGUGGUGCCCUUUGGCACGUCGUACCCAAGAACCUUGCAUGACUCCCUAGCCUCCCUUGGCAGGAGCAAUGGCGCUGGCGGAUGCAACCGCAGUGUUUCCUUGAUGACCAGCUUCAAGUACUUCACAUGUGCCAAGUCAUCUUCCGUCACUUUGGGCUUCCCAUUGAGAGUGCCACGUAGCUCGGCUUGUGCUUUCUUCAUCACAUCCGGGUACCUCAUGAGCUCCGACAUUGCCCACUCCAAAGUUGUUGCUGAUGUCUCGCUUCCAGCGCUAAAAAGAUCCUAAUAAGCAAAGUUUUAGGAAGCUAUUAAUAACGAAACAUGGUAAAUAAAAUGGAAACAAACACAAUUCUUAGAUGAACUUACAAGGAUAACGGCUUUGAUUAUUCCAAUGGUGAGAGGCACGUCGAGGCCACCUUCCUUUUGUACUCUCAAGAGCACGUCCACCAGGUCCUCCUCCUCCUCCUGCUGGUCAUCGGUGCCGUUCGCCGCCGCCAUGGCCCUCCGCUCCUCGUGCUGCUUGAUGGCGCAAUCCAUGAGCUCAAAGUUCUUCCGGUGGUUGGCGUACGCUCGCCGCGCCGUUCCGCUGAAGAAGCUCACGAGCGGGGACGACGGGAACAGGUCGCCGAGGCUGAAGCCGGAGACGAGCUUGAGGCCCUCCUCGAGAGACACCAGGAACUCAUCCCGCCUGCUGAACCUGUCCCCGAUCAUGGCCCGCACCGCCGAGUCGGCGACCAGCACGGCGAUCCGGCGGCUGACGUUGACGGCCUCGCCCGGCGGGGCGGCCGCCACGCCGGCGACGAGGCGCGCGGCCUCGUCCUCCCGGACGCGGCGGAACGACUGGACGCGCCGUGCGCUGAGGAGCUCCAGGAUGCUGAUCCUCCGGAGCUGGCGCCACAGGUCGCCGUAGGGCGCGAACACCAGGCCCUGCCCGUCCUCCAUCAUGAUCCGGAUGGUGGGGCUCCACGGCCGCGUCGCGAACGUGGCGUCGUGCGUCCGCAUGACCUCGCGCGCGGCGUCCCGGGACGUGGCCACCACGACGGGGACCUCGCCGAGCCUGAGGUACAUGAGCGGCGCGUCCAGCCGGCGCGCGAGGUCCGCGAACGCGCGGUGCACGAGCGGCCUGCCCACCAGGUGGUGCAGGCUGCCGAUCACCGGCAGCUGCCACGGGCCCGGCGGCAGCCUGACGCUGCCGCCGCCGUCGCGCUUCCGUAUCAGCUGCCUGAGGAGCGCGAGAGGGAGGAGCAGAGCCAGGAAGAGGCACAUGUGGUAGAACGCCGGUUGCUCCAUGGAACUGGCUGGCUAGCUUCUGCAGGCUUCUUGGAGGUGCAGACCGGAUCAGGCUGGAUAAAGAGGCCUGAUUGGACGACGCAAGCGUUGCGUACUGCAGAUUCGAAUGCCAGCGGACAAAACUUUCUGUUGCUACUACUUCCCCAUUUGCAAUGCAACUUUGUGUGGCCGGCAACUCGGCGUCGCCGUCGUCCACACGAGAUGCCGCUUUGGCGUUUCAGCCGCGUCGUGGAGGGGCUCCUGGUUGAUGUAAAAAACACCACCUUUCAUUGAAACCUCUCUAUUCUUGAGAAUUUUUUUUUACUGGAGCUUUUUCUCGAUAUCCUAAUGUAAUCUAGAGUGGAAUGAAAACUAAACCGAUAACCCUAAAAAUGGAACUAAAAUCAUAGCGAAAGAUGGGAAGUGAAGACGAAAACAACUCUAGCCUCUUCAAAUCAUUUUCGACUUUAUUUUUUCAGUAUUUUAACAAUAAAUUACUAGUAACUCGAUCGGUCCGUGCGAGGACGCCGUCAACGCCGACGCUGUCGCAGGGCCGGCAGGGCGGCAGCGGACAGCAUCCAGCAUGCGCGGCCGGCCGGCGGCGAGCCUGAGAUCCCCUUUGGCGGCGACCCCGGACGCCGUUCCGCAAAACCCAGGCGUUGAUUUGACGCUGUGUUUGGCAGGGGGGUUAGCAUCGACGACAUGAAAAUGACUGCCUCCAAAAACGAGCUGAACCGGGACGAUUAAUAACUCUAUAAUUAGAACGGUGGAUCCGACAUGUACGUGCUACAUAUCGAAGUUUCGUCGUCUUCACAGUGACACACUCACACUGAUGAUAUGAUGAUCGGCUUGCCGGUACGCGAGCUGGGGCAAACUGCUGCACACACUACUGUAGUCUAGUACAUGCGCCCCCGCCUCCAUUCGUCCGCUGUCGCCCUACGCCCCUACCCGGCUCUAGUGGCACUAGUACUGUCACCAAGCUGCUACUGAACCCGUUUGGCCGGGCUCCGCAGGUUCCGGCUCCAUCCACUUUAGCACUAUACUAUAGUGAUAUACUACUGUUGUAGCUAGGUGAAGCCGGAGCUGAAGGAGCCACUGUUUUGGGCUUCUCCGGCUUCUCCUUCUUUCUAGGGCAAGGCUAAUGUUACUGCACCAUAAGCUGACACCAAAUGAAGUAGCAACAGUUACUGCCUAGUGCACAAUGUAUACACCUUAAGGUGGGUCCCAGCCUAUAAUAAAGAAUUAGCAACUUUGCAAUUGUUCCACUGGUGGUGGCGUGAGUGGAGAGCAGUAUCAGAGAGAGAAGGGACAUGAUGGGCAGAAGUGAUAGAUUAAAUGAUUUUUUAUUUGCUUAUGGUGCAUCUUAAGCUUGAGGUGCACUCGCAACAAAAAAAAAGCUUGAGGGGCACUCUAAAAGAUUCUUUCUUAAGGUGUUGGUGUUGCUGCACAAUGGUUAUGGUCUAUUUCUGUAGCAGCAUUGAUUGCUUAAUGCCAUCUUUCUUCACACAUUAGAGCUGCCCUUAGUACAUUUUUUAUUUCGAUUUCCGUUCCAGCUUCCUGCUAUAGUUGUUAACAGUUCUCCGGCUGAAAUCUAGCCAAACGGGCUCUUACUAUCACCGCCGACCCUGUCAGCUACCCCGCCUCGCUCGUCGCCAUCCAAUCGACCAAUCCAAUCAGUACGAUGCCCUGAGCCCCUGACCAUCGUUGCCACCAAACUAGUCGUUCUCUACCACCGCGGUUGGAGGCGCAUCGUCAUCUCGUCUGCUGCCCUGGUCGCUACACCACCACCACCCAAUCCAAAGAGCCAGCGACCUCCCUAGCCAUGCAUCCUCUGCAACCCAGGUGCCACAAUACACAGCUCGUCAGAUUAGAUCAGCGCACGCAUGAGCGGUUUGGUGCCUAGUUCCCUGUUGCAACAAUGCUGCAGCAUCUCUUGGUGCUUCGCCGCGGUCGCCUUGGAAAGUUCGAGACGACCACAGGCAUGGCGCCAAACGAGCUGCUGCUUACGAUGGACAAUUUCUUGUCGUACGCUCAACACCGAAGCAAAAAAUCCCUUGUGGCCUGUAAUUAUAUACGUGCCUCUCCUCUAAACUGGUUCAGAAACCAUUCAGUUCUUGGUUAGCCUCAACAGCCAUUGCUCUCUCUGCUAGUAGACUCCGAUCCAUUAAUUAGCAUACCAUGGAGCAGCUCACGUACUACCUGUACCUCUUCUCGGCGCUCCUCCUCCCUCUCCUGCUUCUCAAGCUCACGAGGCGCGGCGACGACAGUGGCCUGAGGCUGCCGCCGGGCCCGUGGCGGCUGCCGGUCAUCGGCAGCCUCCACCACCUGCUCGGCAGCCCGCUGCCCCACCGCGCCAUGGCCGGCAUCGCGCGCCGGCUCGGCGCGCCGCUCAUCUACCUCCGGCUCGGGGAGGUCCCCGUGGUCGUGGCGUCGUCCCCGGACGCCGCGCGCGAGUUCAUGAAGACGCACGACGUCAGCUUCGCCACGCGCCCGUGGACGCCCACGAUGAGGGUCUUCGUGGAGGACGGGGAGGGCCUGGUGUUCGCGCGCUACGGCGCGCUGUGGCGGCAGCUCCGCAAGAUCAGCAUCCUGGAGCUGCUCAGCGCCCGCCGCGUCCACUCGUUCCGCGGCGUCCGGGAGGAGGAGGCCCGCCGCCUCGUGGCUGCCGUCGCCGCGGCCGGCGAGGGCGCCGCUGUCAACGUCAGCGAGCGGAUCGCCGUGCUCAUCACGGACACGGCGGUGCGCUCCAUGAUCGGCGACCGGUUCGAGAGGCGGGAGGAGUUCCUGGAGAACCUCGCGGAGGGGAUAAAGAUCACCUCCGGGUUCAACCUCUGCGACCUGUUCCCGUCGUCAAGGCUCGUCAGGCUUGUCAGUGGCACGGAACGCCGGGCGCAGGCAAAUCACCGCAGGAACUUCGAGCUCAUGGACUACGCCAUCAAGCAGCACGAGCAGCGGAGGGCGGCCAUGGUAGAAUCUGCAGAUGGCACCGUGGAAAAGGAGGACCUGGUGGACGUGCUCCUAAGGAUACAGAGGGAAGGUGGUCUCGAGGUGCCCCUCACCAUGGGAAUGAUCAAGGCCGUCAUCCUUGUAAGUUACCAUUGCAAGUCUGUGUAACGCUUUGCCUAGCAUGCAGGUGACUAGUUCAUGAGUUCAUGUACAUUGAGUUUCCUUGUUGCAUAUAUAGGAUCUUUUCGGUGCCGGGAGCGAGACAUCGGCGAAUACACUCCAAUGGGCCAUGUCAGAGCUCGUAAGAAACCCAAACGUGAUGCAGAAGGCACAAGCCGAGGUGCGCGGAAAGCUUCAAGGCAAGCCAAUGGUGACCGAAGAUGACUUGGCCGACUUGAGGUACACGAAGCUCAUCAUCAAGGAGACCCUAAGGCUGCAUCCGGUGGUGCCGCUGCUCGUCCCAAGGGAGUGCCGGGAGCCAUGCAAGGUCAUGGGCUACGACGUCCCCAAGGGGACCACCGUGUUCGUGAACGUUUGGGCGAUCAACAGGGACCCCAGGUACUGGGACGACGCCGCGACGUUCAGGCCGGAGCGGUUCGAGGCUGGCACCGUCGACUUCAAGGGCACGGACUUCGAGUACACGCCGUUCGGGGCGGGGCGGAGGAUGUGCCCUGGCAUGGCGUUCGCGCAGGCGAGCAUGGAGCUCGUGCUCGCCGCGCUCCUGUACCACUUCGACUGGGAGCUGCCUGGUGGGAUGCCGCCGGACGAGUUGGACAUGGCGGAGGAGAUGGGCAUCACCGUCCGGAGGAAGCACGACCUUUACCUGCGUCCGGUUGUCCGUGUGCCACCACAUGUAACACCAUAGAUGUUCUAGAGAGUACAAUUCAUCACCCUCUCCGUGCUUUUCACGCUAAUUAAACUGCAGAGUGCGAGCUGGCUGUGACUUAACUAAGUACUUGCAACACGUUAUUUUGCUUUAAUUUGUGAAACACGCGGAUGAGAGCCCAUGUUGUUGUGAAGUGCCAUAAGAAGAUGAGAGGCUGGUGACAAAAAAAAAGCCUCUUCACUUCUUCCACAUCUCGCAUACAGGUAUACCAACGUGUUCCAAAUUGAAAUAUCAUCGGACGAACCAGACAUGUAAACCCGAGCAUGAAUCGGCAAGCGCUGUCGCAUUGCUUUGCUUCCAGCAUUGCAGUGUUGCAUUUCUUCGAGUGUUGCAAGAGCCUCUUCACAAAGGUCAUGCUGCACAUAUCCAGCAAUCAUGGAAGCCCAAGACACCACAUCUUUCCAGCAAUCUCAUGGUAUGCUCCAAUGUCACCACUUCUUGAUCUCUAUGUGAAAUGUGGUUUUGGGAAGAUAGAUGGUUUGGAAUUCUAGUCUAGGCAUCCAGUUUUGGCCUUUGUAUGUGAUUGUCAAUGAAAAAAGGGCUAUACUAUUGAUGGGGUGUGGGAUGGAACUGACCUAAAAUUUAUAUUUAGAAGGACAGUUUCUGAACAUGGCAUGUCUAUGUGGUAUGAGAUCUGUAAUAUUGUAGAGUCUCUUACAUUAAAUGAGGGGGAGGAUAGCCUGAUUUGGAGCUUUAGCUCCUCGAGUACUUUUUCUGUCCAAUCUUUAUAUGGUGUGAUUAGUUUCAGAGGUGUGAAACCUGUUUAUCCACAGACAGUUUGGGGUAUGAGGAUUCCUCCUCAGGUCCAAGUGUUCCUCUGGCUUCUCAGCAAUAAUAAACUGCUCACUAGAGACAAUCUAAGUAAAAGAAGGCCGGUGGAGGAUAAAACUUGUGUUUUCUGUUCUGAAAAUGAGUCGAUUGUGCAUCCGUUCUUUGAAUGCUGUGUGGCAAAAGAGGUUUGGGCUCUUUGUGCUAACAGCUUGGGUAUUACUCUGAAUCCCGGGUUUGAGUCAAUUGCAAAGAUUUUGGAUCUGCAAGAAAAAACAUGCUAUCACAAACCUGUGUACAUCCGAACGCCUUUUGUUUUCAGGGGGAAUGCUGGAGAGACGUGCGAAGAGUGCUCACCAAAGCCUGCGGGAUGAGGAGGAGGUGGAAAAGCCUUUGCAAAGGUUCAGAAGAGAUGCAGCUGGAAGAGAUUGUGGAGAAGAUGGAAACAGUAGCACAACAUCCGCUGCGCAUCUGCUAGGAGCAAAAAGCUUCGUUGGGUGUUCAGCUGAGACAAAGCUUAUAGGGGAGGGGAGCAGCCGCUUCAUCAUCUUCUGGCGCGACCGUAGCAGCAUGUGAAGUUUUGGCUUCGAAUCUAUGCACUGAGAGCGUGUUUGGGAGAGCUCCAGCUGGCUUUGGCUCCUCCUGAUAAUAAAAUCCUGUUUACUAAAACCGUUUUUCUCUCUUCUCUUUCCUCACUCUCUGGCUCUGGCUCUGCGAGAGGGAGAGGAUAGACUGAUGAGAAGUUAAAUGAGGGGAUUGCUCUUUUCUCUAAUUAAAAAAAAGUAUAUAUCACAGAACAGUUCUUUCUCUAUCAUUGCAAAUUUGCACAAUUAUUUCUUUUUUCAAAACUAAAAUUUGUACAAUUCCAAAUUCAAUGAUCCUGGGACAUUUAAGUAUCAGUGCACGCGGUGCGUGCGUGCGUGCGUGUGCUACUCUCCUUCAAGCAUCAGUCGCUUCGGAACGCACGGCUGCGCUACGGGCAUGAAGCCAAAUUAAAAUAGGAGCUGUUCAAUGGAAAUUGGCUUCUCAUACUUAUCCUCUCCGUAUAUGUAUGUGUGCACAAUUGCGUCUUCUCUCGUCGUCGUCGACACCAGGCAACCAGCAUGGAGCAGCUCACGUACUACUGGUGCCUCUCCUCCUUCCUCUCGCAGCUCGCAAGCUCAUCACGAAGCCCGACAACAAUGGCGCCCCGAGGCUGCCGCCAGGCCCGUGGCAGCUCCCGGUCAUCGGCAGCCUCCACCACCACCUCCUCCGCAGCUCGGUCGCGCACCGCGCCAUGGCCGGCCGGCAUCGCGCGCCGGCUCGGCGCGCCGCAGCUCAUCUACCUCAGGCUCGGGGAGGUCCCGGUGGUCGUGGCGUCGUCCCCGGACGCCGCCCGCGAGUUCCUCACGACGCACGACGCCAACUUCGCCACGCGGCCCUGGAGCGCCACCGUCAGGACCAUGAUAGUCGACGGGCAGGGCCUGCUGUUCGCCCGCUACGGCGCGCUGUGGUGGCAGGUGCGCAAGGUCAUCACCAUCCUGGAGCUCCUCAGCGCCCCGGCGUCCAGUCUUUCCACCGCGUCCGGGAGGAGGAGGCCGGCCGCCUCGUCGCCUCCGUCGCGGCGGCGGCGGGCGGGACGCCGUGAACGUCAGCGAGCGGGUCGCCGUGCUCGUCACGGACUCGGUGGUGCGCGUCAUGAUCGGCGACCGGUUCGAGAGGCGGGAGGAGUUCCUGGAGGGCCUGGACGAGGCGAUAAAGAUCACGUCGGGGUUCAACCUCAGCGACUUGUUCCUCCCGUCGAGGCUCGCGAGGCUUGUCGGCGGCACGGCGCGCCAAGCGGAGGCGAAUCACCGCAAGAACUUCGAGCUCAUGGACUGCGCCAUCAAGCAGCACGAGCAGCGGAGGGCGGCCAUUGCAGCGGCCGCGCGCGGACGGCGCCGGGGAAGAGGAGGUCCUGGUGGACGUGCUCCUGAGGAUUCAGAUGGAAGGUGGCCUCGAGGUGCCCCUCCCUCACCAUGGGAGUCAUCAAGGCUGUCAUCCUAGUAAGUGACCAUCAGACCAUGCAAGGGCACUACCGUCUUCGUAAACGUUUGGGCGAUCAUGAUCAGUAGGGACCUCAAUUACUGGGACGAUGCGGAGAUGUUCAGACCGGAGCGGUUUGAGUCCACCACUGUCGAUUUUCAAGGCACGGAUUUUGAAUUCACACCGUUCGGGGCAGGACCACGAAGGAUCUGCCUGCCCUGGCAUGACAUUUGCGCAAGCCGGCAUGGAGCUCGCACUUGCAGCGCUUCUGUACCAUUUCGACUGGGAGCUCCCUGCCGGGCUGCUGCCGAGGGAACUGGACAUGGAAGAGGUGAUGGGCCGGCAUCACCGUUAGAAGGAAGCGUGACCUGUAUCUGCAUCCAGUUGUCCGUGUGCCACCACAGGAUGAACCGUAGCUGCUUUGCAUGAGUGUUUCUGAAGCCCACGUACGGUAUCACGCGAUCACCUAUAUAAAAUGGACAUGCAUUCCGUUAAUAAAAAUGCAUUAGCUGCAAUGCAUGUAUGUGACUUAGCCUUUGUGACGAUUGACUUGAACUACCAUUGGCAAACAAUCUGGUUUUCCUUUGUCAAAAUGUUGAAUUUCUCUGCAAAAGAUCUAAAGAAGAACAAGCAAAGUAAGUAUUUUGCAGUACGUGACCGUGAGAAGUUCAAGGUUCAAUAGUUCAUCAGGUCACUUUGGGUUUCGGUUGCUUAGUUUAUAGGGCACUGUAGCUAUUCAUAAACAAUAUAAUGUAUGUUGAUUGUAUAUUUUUUUCAUUAUUUUCUAGAAGAUACAUCGCAUAUGCAUCCAAAAUUCAUGAAGUACUUCUUGUACACUGCUUAAUCCAUUAAUUCUAUGUCUUGUAAACUUGUCAGCAUAAGUUUACAUGUGAUAUACACUAGCAGUAUGAAUGUUUACAAAAUUUUCAUGUGUGAACAUACCAAGAAGCAGUUUUGCUUUGAGGAUUUACAUUGCGUUGCAUGUGCGAUAGGCUGAUAUAGUAGCAACAUGCGUCCUUGCAAGAAAUUAAAUGUGUGAUAGACUGGUUAGCUGACGAUGGAUCCAAAUUCGUUUGGAUAUAUGGAUGGAGGGAAGAAAGGGGCGGCAGUUUGUUUGUAUGAUGUAAACAUCGCUACGAAUUACAAUGUCGUAUGUAAACACACAAGGUCAGUCAACAAAACCGUCUUCCUUUUACCCCAAACCCGAACAAUCUAUGACUUUUUUAUGAUGUCACAUCCACAGAACUGAAAGAACAAAAAGAAAUCCUGAGGCCGCCAAGGAAAGGAAACGAAGGUAACAAUUUCAGCUGCAUCAUUCCAGUUGGCAUAAAAUCAUUCUCAUGAUGCAGAAAUCUGUUUCAGUUAUGAUAUGAUGCUACGGUUCCUCAGCGUCAUUUAUUCCAGCACUGGCGACGAGUUCUUCUGUCAAAGAAAACAGCCCAACGAUCUCCUUUUUAGCUUCAAGAAUCACGUUCAUUUUCUUCUUUGGUUCCAUUUUGGAAGCACCUUCACUGAUGUUUGCAUUUCGGGAUGCAAGCAGAUUGGUACCAGAAUCGGUUCUACCACUUCUCAAGAAUGCUUUAGUGAUAUCGGCAAGCUUCUUCAACAUAGUACUAGCAGCUAGUGCCUCCCCCUCCACAGAUUCGAGUUCAUGCUUUCGGAGCUCCACUUCUUCCACAUUGUUGGCUUUGGUUGCCUCAUCAGCAAGGCUAGACAGUCUCCUGACGUCGUUGGGAUCUAUGGAUAGCUCUUCCAAUUUGUCUAGUUCCUUGUCCCUCACAUCUAACCUUCUAAGUACUGCCUUCAGCUCUAGGUCUUUUGCGUCAAGUGCUUUAUAUGCAGCUCUUAAGUCCACGUCUUUCUGUUCCAAGGAUUCUUUCAGCAUGUCGAUGUCAGCCUCCAGUUGAUUAUGUUUAUGCAAAUUCGACUCAAGGGCUGUGUCUGUGCUUAAAAUUUCAUCAUCGAGCAAGUUAUAAAUGUCAAAUUCUUCACCUUCUACAGAACCUAUAAGAUUGCCAGUGAGCUCAACUAUCUUUUGCACCACAGAUUCAGCUUGUGAGCGUCCUAAUCUCAUCUUAUCCAAUUCAUCCUGCAUUAAUUGUAUACGUUGCUCUUUAUCCUGUAGUUCGGAUCUAACCUGAACAAGUUGAUCCUCCUUGGUAUUUAUCAUAUGCUGAAGUUCAACAACUUCAUUGUUAACUUCGUCAAGUCUUCGUUGUGUCUCCAGAAGCUCCAAAUCUUUCUCUUGAACGGCAAAUUGUAUGGAGUCCACCUUCAAUUUCAUAUCUUCGACUUCAUGUCUGGCCUCUAACAACUCAUUCUCUUUUGUUUCGACAAGCUUUUGUGAAUUGAAGUACUCAUUCUCCUUCCGAGCUAGCUCCUCUUGAAGCAAGUCUACCUCCUUAGUUUUCUGUUCCAAGCUCUCCCUUUCUUUUGUUAACAUAGCCUCUAGGGACUCAACCUUCUUCAUUUCCUCAAGUAACCGUGAUUCAAGCUCACUACAGCGAGUUUUUACAGCGCUGAGCUCAUUUGUCUUUCCUUGAAUCUCCAGUUGAGCAGCUUCCAGACUCUGAGUAUAAGAAAUAAGCAAUGCUUUUUGGUCUGUGAGUUCCUGCACUUGCUUACUCAACUGCGCCGCUUGGUCUUCAAUUUGCUUGCGCGAGAAGGUGAAAGCCUCUUUUGAAGCCAUUAGUUCGGAACGUACAGCAUCCAGCAAAGAUCUCACACGUUUGAAGUCAUCUAUAGUAUCCUUGAUAUUAUCCUUAUCCUUGGAUGCCAUUUGCGCCAGUUCCUUUAACUCUUGCUGUGCUGCUAUCCAUCCUAAACUCUGCUUCUCAAGUUCCUGUUCUGCAACUUUCAGUUUCUCCUCAUUAGCUUUCCUCAAUUCAUUUGAUCUGGCAACCUCAGUUUCCUUUGUUUUAAUUUCAUUCUGGAGCUCCCUAAUUGUUGCUUCUUGCCGUGCAAGGGCCUGAUUAGCUACAAGAAGCUCUUGUUCCUUGGACUCAAUCUCUGAACGCAUCAAGGCUGCUUCCUCGUUCUUCUUCAGCAUAUCCUGUUUAAGCUUAUCCACUUCAAUCACCUUCUUAGAAAGCGCAGCUUGUGAACUAACAAUUUUCUUGUCUUGUUCCUCAACUAGAAGCUUCAGAUUAUUGAUCUGCCUAACCUGUAAAGAUAAAUCCCUACUCGCCUUCAUCAGUGCUUUCUCCAUUUCAUGUUGUCUUGAAUACGCUUUGAUGAUGUCUUCCUCCCUCUGAUCAAGGUCCUGCUUCGUCUGGUUCAGCCUUGACCGAUCAACAGAAACUUUCUUCUCCGCAUCCCGAAGGUCCCUCUCUUUUUUCCUUAGGAUAGACAAGGCAGCCUCAAAUUCAGUCUUCAGGACCUCGAUGCUCAUGCUCAGCUCCCUAUCCUGAGAAGCACUUGGAUCUAGGCUCUUUGUCUUUGCGAACAAUCGCUCCAAUAGUUCCCUAGCGGGCUCGGUCCCAUUGUCACCAUUGGUGAUAUCUGAUUUAACACCUUUUACAACAGAUCUGAUCAAAGGGUGAGAACAUUUCAUAUGCUGUGCCUGAGAAGCUGCCAGGAAGCUCAGCUUCUGCCUGAACAAAACCUGAAAGGUUGCAGGAAACAAUGCAUGGGAGGACUGUUAGGAUAAUGACAGGGCCGCAAAUGAAGCCAUCCAUGCACAUGAAAAAUUGCUCAAGUUGAAGAACUCAAAUGAAAUUUUACUUAAAAAUAUCGCAGUUCACAAAUGCUAAUUCAUGAUGAAGUGUCCGAAUUUUGGUAUAACAUCUAUUCAUCUAUUACUACAUAAAUAUCUUUGUUUUCACGACAAUGUGCAGUUAAUGCAACAAUAGAUUUCACUGCAAUGGCGAUUCGAUUAACCUGAUAUACAUACAGAAUUAACCACCAUGAAAAUGCAGCCAACAGAAUAUGAGUUAGAAAUCCAAAUCUCAUCUUUUAUCUUGAAACAGAGGUAAACAUCGUGAUGAGAAACAGCAAAGGUAAGAGGGUGCUCACGUGAGUGGCGGCGCGGCAAGGCCGGGAGGUGCGGAGAGCGGCGGCGGCGGCCGCCGCCCCGGCCGCCGGCGAAGAGGUGGAGGAGAGGGGCAUGGCCGCGGAACAUGGGGCGGAGGGGGAUCCCGGCCGCCCGGAAGCGAUCGGAUGGAUGGCGACGCGCGCGCGGGCGGGCGGGCGAGGCGAGAGCUGCGGCUGCGGAGAGGGAUGAGGUGGUGGAACUGGGGACGCCCAGGCCCGGCCGCGUGUGGAGCGCAGCGCUGCGCGGAUGACGCGAGGAGCACGAGAGACCUGUGUUUUUCUUUUCUUUUCUUUUUACCUUCCCUUUUCUUCUCGUUUAUUUUUCUGCGAAUUGUUUUUCCUUUUCUUUUUCUUGAGAGAGAAGGGCUGGGGACUUGAGGAUGGGCCGUUUUGCCCAGGAGACUUGAGAAGCCCACGAGGUUCUGGCCUUCUGGGCUUUGCGUCAAGUCUGCUUAUUCAGGCCCGGCUCAGCCCAUGAAUUGGUCGAAAGUGGCUAAACAGCUCAUGAGCUCAACGCCUCAGCCUCCUUCCCCGGCACCGGCAGAGCAGUGGGUGCGGCGGACACCUGCUACUCCACUGAACCCCGCGUCGCCUCUCUGACCAAAACUCUGCUCCUCGCGCGGUGGCAUGGCGAUCCCCAUCCUCGCCGACAUGUGCUGGCCGCGCCCGCGCUGCGCGAGCACGGAUGACGACACGACGCCUGCGGCGCGUACAGCAGCGAGCAGCUCUUCCGGUUCCGGCGCAGCGGCCGCGUGCGCUCGAGCAGGCAGCAGAGCACAAACUGGCCACGUGUCGAUGUGCUUGUCGACCCUGUUGAUCUCGCGUAGCAUCUUCUUGAGCUCCCCGCGAGAUUCCCGACCCGCGGUGAGGACCCGCAGCGCGCCAGCGGCCUGGGACUCGUCGCGCCGCCGCGGCGCGCCAUCGUGGACGCCUUGACUUCCCCCACUAGUACUCCGGCUGCUUGUGGCGGCGCCGGCGGACAGGAACGGAUGCCAUGGGGAGAGCAGAAGCAAAUGAGAUGAAGGGACUAAUCUGCAAAUACUUGAGGUUUUCUUUUCUGUAAAAGUUCGGAUUGCGAUUAAUAUUCUCCAAGCUCGACGAGCCGGAGACGCCAAAGAAAGAGCAAGUGACAUGGCCGUUGCUCAAGAGACCAAGGAGGCAUGCUGUGUGCAUGACUUGAGAUUUACAUUGAUCGUUUUGUGCAUGUAAAAUUACUCGAUCUGUUUGUUCUCAGGUAGAUGAGGAUGCGUCAGAUUUGUUUGCCAUUUCUCUGUGGUUAGUGGUUUUCUAAUGGAAUUGGCAAGAUCUGCAUGUUCCUCCUCGCUGAAUCCAGACUAUCUAGAACACCCUGGAAGCCUCCAGAACAUUCUAGACAUUGAUUUCCUGGACUUUCAAUUCCAUUUCCAUUAAACAACCUGGUGGGUUCUUAGCAGAUUUUGCCAAAUCAUUCCAGCAGGAACAUUCUGGAUACUCAGCCUAGUUUCCAAUAGAUUGUUCUUACACCGAGGGAACAAUCAGACAGUAAAGCGUUUCGAACGCUGAGCAGUCUGGACGUUGCAAAAGAACUGCUAGUACUAAAGAUGAAAUACAUGUGAAAAUACAAGAUGAAUUUCCAGCAAAGUUUUUUUUGAAAAAAUCAAAUUACUCCCCUCAACUAUUAAGGAAAGUUUUGGAUAACCCCUUAAACUAUUUUUUGGUUUACUUAACCCCUCUUGUUUUCUAAAACAGGGCACUAUUCACCUUUAGCACCUACUCCUUCCGUCGUGUAACGUAACAUAUUCUAACCAUUCUAAGACAGAUUAAGGGAGAGAAAAAAACACAUGUACUACUAUUUAAUAUGUUGUUUGAUUGUCAUUUUACCGAUUUUAUAGCUGACUGGGAAUAAUUAGUUUCCAAAAUAUCCUAGGAUGAUUUAUAUUUGGGUACAAUUUUUUAACACUUCAAUAUUUUAUAUUUUAUUUUAGGAUGAAGGAAGUAAUCUAAUCCGAUUUUGAUGACAUGACGACGGUUUUGCUAACUCAUCGUGCGCCGGGCUAUCCAACGUGGAAAUGCAGUUCUACUGCUGCACGUCAACUGCUUGGCGUUGCGACAAGCUCCGGAGGAUUAUGAGCAUGCACGCUGGGCGGGUCGGAGAUCCCACCGGUUGCCGUUGUAAGCAGGCUGCCUCAAGAACAGCCAGAGCGAGACGGCCGUGAGGAAGAACAGCAAAACGAAAGAUCCUGUGCACGCAUAAGCAUCCAUGGUGCGAAUCUGCGAUCCCCUGGCAGCUCCACGUGAACUUCAGGAGCGGUGCAGCGGGGUCUACCAAUAAUUCUGUUGGAGCUGCUUCCAGUGGAUCCUCCUUUGGUCGAUCCAUGGAUCAAUGGAUGCUCUGAUUGCCGGUAAACAAACCACUACCUGCAACUAACGGUCUAUUUAACACACAUACUCCAUGUCGCAAAUAGGCAGAAGAUAUGUUUCAUAUGACUGAUACAGCCCUUGCACUGCACGCAUAUGCUAGCAGCCUACAGUAGUAAGAUUCAUAAGCGUAAGCUCUGGACAGAAAAUUCAUGGUCGAGAGAAACUUUCACCGAUCGAUCGCGCGUGCAGCAAGUCAGAUGGCAGAGUGACGAAUCCUCGCAGGCGUAGAGGUGGUUGGCCGGCCUGACAGCAAGGAAGUGCGCGGCGUCGAGGCAGCGCAGCCGUCGGAACCAGCGACACAGGAGUAUUUCCGGGUUGGAUAGCCUGCAUGCAUGGCGUGAUGAGUUAGCAAAACCGCCACCAUGUCACCAGAACCGGACUAGAUUAGGAGUUAAAAGGUGAACAGUGCACUGGUUUAGAAAACCGGAGGGGUUAGUAAAUCAAAAAAAAUAGUUUAGGGCAGAAUAUUUUUUUUAGUAUGUUGGAACAAUUAUCCCAGAAAGGCGGAAUAUUUUUUUCAUUAGGUUGAAACAAUUGUUCCAACUUAAAAAAUUCUUCUCAUUAAAAAUAUUCCACCAAAAAAUCAUUUAAAUAUAUCCAAAUAGGAUUUAGUUUUGAAGAUUUCGUCGUAAGAGAUACGGUGGUGCAGUCGGAUUUUGAUUUGGAUAUACGGUUUGGGAAAUAUAACUUUUUUCUUCCUGGAUCACGUGCCAAACCAUUAUUAUUUAUAUGAUAUCUUGACUCCUAGUCACGCAUGUGACUCCUAGCACCCCGCGCACACACACGCACGCAAAGUUACUUAUUCUGUAUUUCUUCGUUUCCUUUCUUCAUCUUGUUUUUAAGAUAAUUUCCCACAAGCCACUUGAAAAGUUUGAAAUUCCUUAUCUAUCAUUAAAAAAGUUACAAUUCCUGUUGUGCCAUCAUUUUAUUUUUUUCCCUGGGCACCAUCGCCGUCUGAUUUCAAUGAAACGGCAACCAACGGAAUUUUACAAUACCAAUUUUGCCCGCAUCUUCUACCUCGCGCUGCUCUCUGCUUUCCCAUGUAAGUUGCAUCGCCUCCUCCCCUCCCCUGUCUUCCCACCCAAUCUGAUACUGUCUCCUCCUCUUCUCUUCCAGUCACAUGGGCUUCAAGCCGCUAGAGCUAGGGCUCAUCGUGAGCGGAAGAUUCCUAAACCUGUCAGAUCUAGGCUCCUCCACGGCCGUCUCUACCAGCACCGGCCGGGGCGGAGGCGAGGAGGCACAAAAGGAGAUGGCAGCCUUCCUCCAGCUCGGAUACCUGCAUCGCAGUGGGACUCAAUUGGGAGGUGGAACGGGUGUCGUCUUUGCGGGCGGGACGCAGCGGGCAAUUCGUGGGCACCAUGCAUGUAGAUGGCGGUGGUGCUGUGGAACCGGUGGCCACUGCAGGGCGUGGCGAGUAAGGUUAGCGGCAUAGCGCCCAUGAAUUUGAUGUGUGGGGAUAAGGAUAAAAGUGACUCUUCCAGCUGCACUUAACAGCCAUUUUCAUGAUCCUACAACGGAAGCGGCGAGGAAGGAACAAAGAAUUGAAGCGAUGGCAUGGGUGACAUAACAACUUUCCCAGUGGCAUUUGUUUCAGUAGCCUGUAGGUAACUGCCUCCUUGUUUUUUCGACUUUGGUGGGCCAAGGCCAUUUGGGCUUAGGGUCCAGCAUUAUUGGGCCCAUACAGCUUCCACGCAGCUCCGGCCCGCCGGCCCUUAGACAUGUCGAACCAAGUGGCUCAUGCCUCCUCCCUCACCGCCUCACCGGCAGUCGGCAGAGCAGUGGCGCGGCGGCCGCCUGCUACAGCAACUCCACUGAACCCUUGCCCGCCUCGAAACCCUGCACCGGCGUCCGCCUCCACUCGCGGCGGAGGCAUGGCGGCCACCAUCCCCGCCGCCUUCUUCUGGCCGCCUCCCGGUAACUCCCUCAGCACCGAUGCCUCGACGCCCGUGGCGAUGCGUCACGGGCUGGAGCCGGGGACGCUGAAUGUCUACGAGAACACGGUGCUCCGCUUCCUCUACGGCUACGUCCCCAAGCCGCCGGUCUCCACCGCCGCCACCCUCUCCGGCGCCGCCGCUCCCGAGGAAGGUGAAGGAAUCGACCGCAUCAGCGUCCUUUCCGACGACCUCCUCCGCCGCAUCCUCGCCCGCCUCCCCGCCAAGGACGGCGCCCGUACCGCCGCCCUCUCCACGCGCUGGCGCGGCCUCUGGCGCUCGGCGCCGCUCGUCCUCGUCGACACCCACUUCCUCCCCCGCGGCGGCGCCGAGGGCCGGCCCCCGCGCCCCGGCGCCGUCUCGCGCGCCGUGCGCCGCGCCGUCUCCGCCACCCUCCGCGCGCACCCCGGGCCGUUCCCCUUCGUCAGUCUCUCCUGCGGGUUCAUGGAAGCCGUCGACAGGGAACGCGCCGUGCUCGCUCGCUGGUUCCAGCUCCUCGCCACCAAGCGCGUCGACGAGCUCGUCUUCGUCAACCGCCCCUCGCCCCUCGCCGGACUGCACCUCCCCGCCGCGCUCUUCAGCUGCGCCUCCCUCCGCCGCCUGUACCUCGGCGCAUGGAGGUUCGUCGACACCGCCACCCUCCCGCGCGGUGCCUUCCCCAGGCUGCAUGAGCUCGCCCUCGGCGCUGUCGCCCUGGAGGACCGCGACCUCGACUUCCUGCUCGCCGCGAGCCCCGUGCUCGAGAUCCUCGCCAUUGUUGGAAGCGUGCACAAACUGAACGCCCGUCUUGCCAGCCACAGCCUACGCUGCGCACAGUUCUGCCUUGCCAUCCUUGAAGAAGUGGCGGUAGUGGACACCCCGUCCCUUGAGCGGUUCUUCAUCUGGCGGUGCCUGAAUCAACGCCACGCCGGGAGGGUCAAGAUUGGCCACGCCCCACGGUUGAGCAUGCUGGGUUACUUGGAGCCAGGAGUGCACGUGUUGGAGAUUGGCAACACCGUCAUCAAGGUCUCAAUUAGUCAAUUUCCUUUUCUUUCAUUCGUUUUGUCCAUAAUUGGCAUGCAUGCAUUAGAAAUAUCUGCUAAUCGAGGAGCUUGACGCGAUGGUGCUUCAUGUAUCUGUUGUUUUGUGCAUUGCAGUCUGGAACGAUGCUGAGUCCAAAGACCACUGUUCCAAGCGUGCAGAUGUUGGCACUGCAUCUGCAUUUCAGAAUGCGCAAUGAGGUUAAAAUGCUUCCAAGCUUCCUCAGGUGUUUUCCCAAUGUCGAAACACUGUGUAUCCAGGUAUAAUCGAUCCCUCCCCUCCCUUCAUUUGCUAUUUGCAUUGUCAUUGUCGUCAUCAUUGUCCACUUUGUAGCAUUACAUUAUUGCUCCUGCAAAAUCCAUUUUCUUCCAUCACUAUGUAGCUGAACUGUCCACUGAACUUAAAUUUCAGUCUGAAGAAACUCAUGAGCCCACUGGCGAGUUGAACCUCAAGUUUUGGCAGGAGACCGGUCCCAUCAAAUGUGUUCAAACGCAACUCAAGAGGCUAGUGUUCCGUGAGUUCCAUGGGGAGGAAGGUGAGUUUGCCUUCCUUAUGUUCAUCGCGGAAAAUGCCCGGGUGUUGGAGAAAAUGGUUCUUGUGAUGGAACUUCGAAGGCCCUCGGCACCAGAAGAACUUGUUGCCAGAAUGAAGGCACUGGAGACUGCAAGGUGGGCAAGCGGGAGCAACAAAGCGGGGUACUUGUUGUCCCGACCUGGUGUGGGAGGAGGCAGCGCUUGGUGUCUCAAAGCGGGUUCUGACUUUAAGCACAAUGAUCCUUUUUCUGCCUAGUUUAGAACGCAAAUGCAGUAAAUAAACAAUCAAGUUAGACAGUACUGGUAAAUUUGCCACUGUUAAGCAGAUUCUUCUCGAUGCAUAUCUGACUGGAUAUAUCGCAGCUAGUUGUGUAAUAACUUAAUUACUGUUGCUAUAUAAUGUGCCAUAUUUCCAUGUGGCAUCACCUUUUUCAUUGUGUUUGCUGAUUGUUUAUUCAAUCAUCAGAACUAUCUGUCUUUGGGCAUUAUGAAUUUAUGAUUUCUGCUCUGAAUCCAUUUUAAUUUCCGUACCCGAGGCUUAAUUGAGCUGGAUCAGGAUGUGGCAUGCUUGUUUGUGACCUUGUUGGUUAAAAUGCCAGGCCCUGUGAGUGACAUUCAUCCUUAAAUCUUAUCUGCAUAUUGAUUGAACUUGUGUCAUGCAUGCACUUCUGCUGUCUUGUAGCAUAGACACUAGGAGUAUUCCUUGCAAAGACAAUUCACAUGAAUGUCCUUUUUGCACUACAAGAUGGAUGUCAGGUGAUUGUGCCAUAUUAUAUUGCUUUGUUUCAUACAUUACCUGUUUCUUUGCGCUGCUGCUGUUUCAUUCAUACUAACAGUAAUAUAAAAACAUUGUGCCUCUUAUGCAUCAACUUAUGUACAUCAUUUCUGCCAACAGCUCAGGUCUGUGGUAAACCCCAUCAGAAGAUGCACGCCAAUGCCACUGCACUGCCCACAUGGUUAUGGGUGUUUGUAUAUUGUCGAUAGCGGUAUGCUCACCUAUACUUGUUUGAUUGUUUCUUGAGACUAGCAGGUCUCCAGCUUCUUAAUCUUGCAUGGGACUAGCAUGAUUGACGGCAGGUCGUUUCAGCCAUGGGAUUAGCAUGUUUGCUUUAAUUCGUUGCACAGAUUCCUUGCCAAGAGUAAAGAAAUCAGUCUUGCAUUUCUAGCCAUGAUAGUUGUGAAUGAAGCACUUGUAACAUAUAAAUACAUAUGAACGUCGUGAUAGGUUCUACAUAAUGGAAGUUCAAACUUUUUCCCUCACAUAUGAAUGCCUUGGAAGUACCAAAUAAUCUCAUGGAUUACGGAUUGGCAGUGGCACACAAAUCAUUCAUGGAUUGAGGUAGCUAAACGCUAGCAAUAGUACAGUGACCAGCUUGUUACUGUUGGAAUCAUCCCCAGAUCUGAAGAAUUUUACAAGCCAUAGGAGAACCAUAGCAACACAAAUUGGCAAUACACAAAUAAGCAUAUCUGUGAACUGGGCAAGGAAGCACCCAAAUUAACCUCCUAAGAACAAAAAAUAACCACGAAAACGCACUCAUAAAACACAUUUCUCCCAGGCAGGGAGCUCUGGACACCUGCUUACAUGCGUCACACUACCUUGCUGAGGAAACCGUCUCACUUGAAUCAACUGCCUCCUCUUUCACAUCUGUUUUGGAGCUCUUCUCCUCAGUGAUGCAGUCCGAGCUAUCGGGUCCAGAUGAGCCCUGGAACGAACUGGUCUGUUCAGGCUUGAACAGCUCAUUGUUCUCCAGGUUGGAGAACUUCUCAACAGAUUCUCCUUUGAGCAACUCAACAACUUCAGACAUUAUCGGUCUCUGCUCUGGCUUGUUCUGAGAACAUGCGAGCCCGACAAGCACCACUCGCUUCAGCUCAUCCUCAACAAAGUUACCAUUGAGCUUUGGAUCAGCGAUUUCCUUGAACUUUUUGUCGCGGGCUAGAGGAAGAGCCCACUCGGUUAUGGUUCGUUUUGUGGUGGGGUUUACCUUCUCAACUGGCUUCUUCCCACUUGCGAGCUCUAGGAGCAUGAUUCCAAAGCUGAAGACAUCGCAGCUUUCGGAGGCCUUCCCAAGCAUCGCAUACUCUGGUGCAAGGUAACCGAGUGUGCCUUUUACCUUUGUGGUGACAUGUGUUGCACCAUCUGGAAUGAGCUUAGCGAACCCAAAAUCAGCAACCCGAGCUUGGAAAUUUGAGUCCAGAAGGACAUUGCUCGCCUUGACAUCUCUAUGAAUGAUAUGUGGUGUUGCGUAGUGAUGAAGAUAACUGCGAAAUGAAAGAAUUCUAAACAUUAAGAUUGCUGCAUUUUGAUGAAAAUUGAUGAACUGAUAUUGUGAGGCUUACGCAAUCCCUUCUGCAGAAUCUAUGGCGAUCUUCAUUCUUCUUUCCCAACCGAGAUUGCAUUCCGCUGCGUGCUGUCCAUGAAGCUGAGAGUGUAUGCUCAGAUUUGGCAUAUAAUCAUAGACUAUCAAGCGUUCUUGGCCUUCAGCACAAUAUCCACGCAAGCUCAAAAGGCUUUUGUGCCUCACUCGUGCCAAAACCUCCACCUCAACAGCAAAUUCUUUUUCAGCCUUGUUGCUCCAACUCUUGAGCCUUUUCACUGCUAUCUGUUUAUAUGUCAUUAAUGAGCGAAGCAUAAGUUGGAGAACAUGAGAUCCCAUUCAUGGAAUAAAUAGUAAAUAGAACCUACUUGGUCCCUUAAACUUCUAAUUGAACAAAGAAUUCAAAGCAUAAGACAACUAUGCCAAAGAGGGCGGCCCAGUUCACCACGGAAAGCGAAUUCGACAAGGACCACGUAGCUCAAAAUUUCAUCCAAAAAAAUAUUAAUUUUAUGUUACAGCAUGUAAGUAAACUAUUGUCACAUCAAUGAGAUUGUCCAAUGCAGCACAAAUCACUUGCGUUAGUAAACAAUUUUGAAAAUACAGAAGGAAUCAAGAAACUCCAAUUUAGGGGCUUUGUAUUUAGACUCCCAAAUAGGUGCAGCAGAGCAUACCCAUGUGUCAGGAACCUCACCUUUUUUAUCUGGCCAUGUCAUUAAUGGAAAUACCCUCUUACAUAUAGCAAGAACAAUGCAAACUUUUACAAGCACUAGGAUUAUAGUUUACUUGGCUACAAUCUGGCAGCGAACCCCUAUAAUUGGCUAGUAGUCAUGAACCAGUACACUGUAGCAUUUUCAGUUAUGCCAUUGCACAGCUUGCUUGGUUCUGAUCCUGAAAAGGCUGUGUGUGCCAGGCAGCGGAUCCAGACGCUCGAUUUCGUCAACCUGGGGUCUGAAUCGCUGCCUGGGAGCAGCUGCUUGGCUCAUGAUCUCAUCCAAACAAGCAAAUUAGGUGUGAUAUCAUGUUAGUGCAGCACAAUUCAACUCCAUCCUCCUCAAUAAUGAACAUGAAAAAUAUUAGCAUAUUUAUUUUCAUAUGUUAAUCUUUUAUUUAAGACAAAUCCAGCAGGGGGACUUCAACUGUUGAGACCUUCCCAGUUCCAAGUUAUUGAUCUUUCAUCCAAAUAUCAUACCAUGUUAUUUGUUUUUCCUGCUUUCAAGAAUAUUAGGCGAUGAAGAAGAUAGAAACAAAUAUUGAGAAGAAAAAUAGGGUAGUUAUCUGAAUUUGUCAAGACUCUGUGAUUGGCUGGUUGUUGACUGGCCUUCUUUCAGGCCGUGUGGUUUCAUUAUCCCUCAAUUGUGUUCUUCCACCUAAUAAUUAUGAUACUAUCUAGUUAUAAAUGAUAAUGUGAUCUACAACGAGGCUGUGUCUAUAAUCAUUGUAGAAAGAAAAAUUCAGUGCUCUACUCAAACCAGAAAGCCCGUGUUUAGCAUGGUCUCAAGCUAAGCUAUAGUUUGGAUGCCCGUUGCUUUCAAAAGCAUAUUCAUAGAACCAAUGGUGAAGCCACGUUCAUCUACAGUGGUGCCAUGGCACCAGGGUAAUAAAAAUGUUACCACUAACCAAACCCAAAUUCACCAUGUAUUUUUACAAAAUUUGAUGUGUUCUUUAAGCGGUGCACCAGCGUCAUUUUCCAGCUAGCUUCGCCCAUGCAUAGAACAGCUCUGAAAACUAUUAGAAACAGAAAAAGCGUGACAUGGUAAAAUUAAAUCAGCUAAGAUACAAUCAUCAACAUCAGCAGGUCUUUCCAUUGCGUUGUCCUGUUCCUACCAACAAUACCAAAAGCACCAGAAUCUAAAACUGCAGCCUGCAAGGGAAAAAAAGGCUGCACAUAGCAGAAUGAAGAUUCCUGUGGUUCAUAGUUCAAGAGAAACAGCACCUGUGAUCCGUCCCAGAGUUGGCCCCAGUACACGCUGCCGAACCCACCCUCACCAAGCUUGUUGUCGUAAUUGAAAUUGUUCGUUGCCGACUGAAGUUCCUUCAGCGAGAAGAUGCGCCAUGUUGCGUCCUUCUUCUUCCUCCUCCUCCCCGGUUCCGCCCUAAGAACACAACAAUGAAGUGUACGGCUUGAGUUGCUAGCAGAUUGUACAGUAAUAAAAAGAAAAGAUCCUAGUGUAGCCCCCUAAAGAUCAUGACUUCACCCAACUCUUCCACUAAAAGCAGACAAGCAGUACAUUCUGAACAAACGACAUAAAUCUAACACUAUGUCAUUUCCAACCUGAUUGCAAAUCACCAAACAAGACUGCCUGCAGUUCAAGGCUAAUACUCGCCGCGGAAACAGUGAAAUUUGAACUGACGCACGAGUUCAGAUAUCCAAUCACUAUCCUUCAAUUCAGUCCAAACGAGAUGUGAAUUGUGAUUACUGAUUAUACUUGCCCCUCACCGAAGUACUAAUCAACCCACAGAAAACAAACCAAGCUCACACAAUUAUUUCACAACUCAUCCUUCCUCGACCAAAAAAAAAAAUCCAAAAUCAAUCGCUACCAAAGUCAUCGCCCCCCCAAGACCCCCCCCCCCAAUCCGCACUCUCCAACAGUGAGAGAGAGAGAGAGAGAGAGAGAGAGAGAGAGAGCAAAAAAAAAGUUGCCAUCACUUGACCAUCUCCCCAGAACCCCAAUUCCUCAGCCGUCCCGCCCUUCUCCUCCAAACCGAACAACCCAAGAUCACGCCCCAGACCCGCACCCAGACCUCAAUUCCAAGGCCAAAAACCGCAACCACCACUAGUCCGGAACCACUCACCCGUCCGACCGCUUGCAGCAGGAAGCCCACCCCAUCGCCCGUCCGACACCUCGCAUCGCCUCCAGAACCCCCCAAAUCAGCACGAGCCGCCGCGUCCCAAGCUCCUCCGAGCGCUCACCCGGCCGCACAAACCCAGCCGCCGCCUCCCCCUCGACGCCGGCCACCGGCGACGGCCUGCGGGGCAGCAGAGAGAGGAGGAGAGAAAGAAGCUCGAAGCUGGGAGAGGGCGAGCGAGUCUCCUCAAGAGGGGGGGGGGGGGGGCGCUGUCUGUGUCUGUCGGCUGAGCGCACCACCGCUCCCCCACCCGCGUACGCAAAGCCAGCCAGCAGCCGCGGGCGCGGGUCCGCUCACCCGCGGGCUGCCGGGCCGGCACCCACGUGGCGCCGCGCGGUUGGUUGGUUUUGAACCGGCUGCGGUAACGGUCGGUUCUAAACCGUCGCGGUAACGUCACCCCAGGUGGCGCGCGUCGGGGUCCGGCGGCCACUGAGCUGUGGGCCCAGCGGUGAUGGCUGAUGACCUGGCGCCGGCGCGGGCCCCGCCCCGGCGGUUUGUGCUGCUGGACGCCGGUUGUUGGGUGAUGGCUACGUUUGACCGAAAGGAAAAGAUCCUUGCGGGAGACUUUGCUGAGAUGGGUACAGAUCGCGGGAGUACUUAUACCCUGCAGCGGAAAUUCAUGCGAAUUUUGAAUGUGUUGGCUGUUCUUGACCAUUUCGAGGUUCCUUCCUUGGAAUCUUCAAAGUGUCCUAUGGUAAACGGGUGAGGACGCUUCAGGUUUUCGCGGAGAAUUUUGGAUCUUAAUGCUAGCAAGCAGCCAGCGAUUAUUGUUAGUCCAUAAUAUGAAUCUGAAACGAUGAGACCUUUUAGCAGCAUUGAGCAAGCAGGUGGAUUUUCUAGGACCCGCAGUUUCAUUUGAGGAGGUUGCGAAUUUAAGAAAAAGCUCCCAAGGUUCACCGCACCUUGAACAGUGAAAGUUUGUGCUUUUUCAGCAUGGUUGGUAAAAGUGAUGGAGUGGAGAGUAAACCGAAACCUUCUAGAAACGGAUUAGUGAUCUUUCUUUUAUCUUGCGACGAAAGGAUUAGUGAUCGAUUGCUCUUGUCUGCUGGUUGGUCUUGUCCACGCUCUGCACAAAGCCAAAGGGAAAGCGCAAGCAAAGCGCCGAUGCAAGUGUGCCCCCACCAAAAUCCAGGAGCGGAAGGGCAUCAUCAACAUGUACUAGUGCCAAGCAAUCAAGAAAUGGUUUGCGCGUACGCUCGACGUGACAUCGAUCUAUCCUUGCGCUCGCAAUCAAGAUGUUGUGCUGGAUGCUUGCAAGGGCUGCGCUGCGCUGACCAGUUCUCCUCUCACCCUUGCCCUCUCUCCCUCGCAUCAUCAGGGGAUUCCUCCUAUCACCAUAGGUACCCCACGACCACUUGUGGCGGCACACGGUAGUAUUAUAGUCUACCCACAAAAAACAAAAGUCAUGUGAGUUUUGGAUGGGUUUCUAAACAGCUCGGAGCUCUUGACCGUUUCAAUGAGGUCCCUCAUCGGCAAUUUUUCUGGAUGACUUGUUCAUAGAUGGCGUCUCAAGAGGAUACGUAGACUGUACGAAUUUCGAUCGAGUCGAGUUGCUGAAAAACGAUUUUGAAACUUGAUGAUAGCGUUUAGCAUCCAUAAUUACAUUUAUAAUUCGCACAGUCGGCGGCGGUGAUAGGGCGAAACAAAACAAAACCUACCAGGAGAAAUUAGUGGGUUGCGUGCUAAUUUAAUUGGUCUUUGCCCACACAAAGCAAAAGGUUAUGAAGAGAACAAAAGACCAAGGAAAAGAGGCUGAGUGUCCCCUACUGUAUCCAGCCUUCGCCAUCACGAGCAGCACUAGUACGAGAAACUCUUUUUAAUUUGUUUGGCCCACAUCGGUGAGGUGCUACUCACUCCGUUCUAAAUUAUUAAUCAUUUUGAUUUUUCUAUUCUAGUUGUAUGAAUUUUACUAUGCAUCUAUAUAUACGUUUACGUAGCAUACGUCCAGAAAUAUAAUAAAAUCUAUGAACGUAGAAAAGUCAAAACGACUAAUAAUUUAAAAUAAUUUAGUUGCAGAGCAACGAGACAAAUGAUUUGCUCGCUUGACGCUCCUCAUCGUUCUUAUCGAAACCAUUAUUUGUUCCUGAAAAAAAGCAUCGAACAAUAAUCGAGUGAGAUGAUAAGAUAAGAAGAUGCUCCCCCAGUCUCGCCGGAAUCUCCGGCUGCGUUGACCGAUUCUGACAUCUGCGCUGCCGUCACACACGCUCACAUGAGUCGGGCAUACAAUACAGCAGGGCAUGGCAGCUGAUGUUGGACUGAUGGCGCCAUGUUGAAUUCUGUCGAUCGUGAAAAUGGACGUCUUGUUUGUUGUUUGAAGUUCAAGUCGAUCGAUCCCGUGAACUUGCCAUGUACUCCAUCCUCGCAUCCACUGUGACCUGUCGUGGAGGCGCGGGCAGCGGCGGAGCAUGGCGAGCACGUUGUGACGCGCGCGGAUGCCAGACCAUCAGCAAGAGGCGUCGGCGGCCGCGGACAAUGCCGGCUCUGGCGAGCGUCGGCAACUCGUCGGUGCAGGAGGGCGGGGCGUCGGGGCUAGUAUAUAUAUAUGGAGCAUCAGAACUCCAGCCUCCCCGGCGCGCUGCUCCUCUUCACCUCGGCGACGUCCAUGGCUGCCUGGCUGGGAGGAGCCGAGCGAGGGACUGGCAGAGGCCGCUGCUACCGCAACAAGCUGGAGAAGAAAGAGCCGCACCUAUGGCCAGGUCACAUUCCAGAAAUCAAAACAGAGCAGGAACAAUACAUCAAACAUCAUCUGACUGAAGCAACAAAAGGAUAUCGAAUGAAGACAGAAUAAAAAACUAUCGAAGAUGGGCAGGCCAACGUUAAACUGUCGACAGAAACAACUAAAUACAACCACAAAAGAACAACUAAUGGACAGAGAAAAAUCGAUUGAUGACAGAGAAGGGAAAAAAAAUCGAGUGUUGUUUAUGAAUUCCGUGAAAAGAAAAACCCAAAAGAUCGUGGUGCUUUUCAGGGUGGAAUGGCGAAGGCCAUAUAGCCCAUAGAUUUUUUUUUUGAGAAAACCGGGUAUAUAGCCCAUAGAUGACCAAACGGCCGAACGCCCCACGGCACGGGUCGGGCCUCAUCAGCCACAAGCCCACAACAUGAUUAGGCCCAACAUGUCACGACAUGUGCCGCCAUGAGUCGACCUUCCCGUUCGUCUCCAAUCGCCAGGAAGCUAAGGUCUUUGUUAGAUCGAAAUCCAGCAACAAUUUUGUCACCAAUCGCCCGGAAAGUUCCUUGGAUCGUUCGGUGGUGGGGAGGCAUGGCCGGGGCAGCGCUCCUUCGAUCCGUGGCUAGCAAGAUGGCCCGCGCACCGCUUCGUCGUCUUCUUGUGCAGGAAUCCAACGCCAUGGCCGCCGCCUUCUAGGGCCAGGACCAUCUCAUCGCCUUUCGAGGUGCUCCGGCUCUCCUGCUUCUACGCCGCCGCCAACAAACCACAGGGUACGCAACAAUCUCAGCAUGUUCCUUGUUCAUCUUUCAAUUCAGGUUAGAUUGUUUUGGGUACGGUCGAGAAUCGAGAUAGGAUCAUGCAUCUUUCAGGUUUAGAAAAGAAAGGAAAGCACUUAGUUUGUAUGAAAUUAAAGCUGAAAUAUGUUCUGUGAAGAUUGUAGAUUUGGUAGCACUUUUGGCAUCAACUUCAAUUGAACUUAAUUCUAUACGCUAUUGAUCUCACUGAUAUAUUUAUUCGUUUAAACGUGAAUUAUAUUGUUAUUUUAACAUGGAACAAUCUGUUAAGUAUAAAAGGAUGGCAGGUCAAGUUUAUGAAUAACACCUAAAUUAGUGGUAGAUACCAUCAAAUUUUUGAUGUUGACAUGAUUGUUAUGAGAAUCAGGAUCCUAGGUAUGAUACUACAGGAUCACAUUUCAUCCUUCACAUGGGAUUAUGAUUCGAUGAAAUUAAAAUCCAUGGCUGAUCCGUGCCAUGCCCAAGCUCUAUGCGACCAUGCUCUGAUCCUAGAUACAUAUAUAUCAUGAUCUUGAUAACCUUGAUAUUACUGACAGUGGUGAUGUUGUUUGUUCUGUUAUGUUUUUUCAGGGUCGUCCACCUCGUAACAAGAAAGUGCGCAGUGAGUGGGACAUGUAUGACUUCUCGCUCCAAUUUCCAGAUCCAUAAAGAAACAACUGAUACUUGUACCUUGGUAUGAAUCACCACUUGCAUUUAUCAUUUUCAGCGCAACAGAUGCAGCCAUAGAAACCCUACCUAAGGUAGCUUACUUUAUGGUGUUCACGCUACUACGAAAAAAGUUCAUAAAGAUGGGUAAAAAUUAAUUUUUAGGGGUGAGUGCAGUACCUGCUUCUACUUCUCGCAGCUAAAAAUGGGCAGGUAACGCGCCCGCCCCUCGGGUCGCGGCUCCUACAAAAAGAUUUCUAGAAAAUAAAAAAAUUGAAAACAGUAAAAUAAAAAAAUAUUGCAGCGAACCAGCCAUCACACAAGCUCCCGUACUAUCGAGUUACAAUUUUUUAUGAAAUAUAUACACUUGCAUCACCUGGGGUUCAAACUGCAUACCUCAAGCCUCGCGCGUAUUUUAUAUUAACUAUGAAAGUGAUUUGUACGGGCUGUCAUCCGCCCCUAUAAAUCAUUUUCUAUGGGCGGGUGACGCCACCACCUACUCCUAAAAAUAUUUUUUAAUUUUAUUCUAAAAAUUUAUUUAAAUCUUUACAUAUAGCAAAAUAAAUAAAAAAGUGAAACUUCUACACUAUGGUUAUUGUGAACUAUAGAUAAAAAAUAUGUCAAGUAUAUUUCAGUGUAUAUAAAUGUUAAAAUUGUUGAAAUAUCAAAGUAUAACUUGAGUUGUAUGAGACACUGUAUAGUCAUAGCCAUACGUAGGUUGAUAAUAAUUUUUUAGAAAAUAUUUUUUGAAUAACUAAAUGACCUUAAAUGAAAAAGUUAUCAACUACAAAGUUUUAGAUCUAAUCAUUCUCUACCAUUUUGAUAUAUAGUUUGACUUCAUUCGAGAUCAUAUAAAAAGUUAUAAAUUUUUUACGUGAAACUAUUUUUAGGGGCGGGUCAUACCAUCACCUGCCCCUAAAAAAUGUAGGGACGGGUGACACCAUCACCCGCCUCUACACUAUUUUUAGAAUCGGAUGAUGGCAUCACCAUCCUCCAAAUACCGUUCUUAGGGACGGGUGAUGCUAUGACCCACCCCUGAAAUUGAUAUCCAUUUGCAGGGGCGGGUGAUGGCGUAACCCAUCCCUAAAAAUACUUUUCUAGGGACGAGUCGGAUGCUACAGUACCCCACUUUAUUUAUAGCGUAUAGGAGCGGGUUAUCUUUUUACAUGUCCUAGAAAAAAACAGAGCGUUGGGUGUAAGUGGUUAUAUAUUUUUGGGUUAUUCCAACACUGGACCAUAUCAAGGAUAGAUUGGACGCUGAUACGGCAGAAAAGUUGGCUUUGGUGGAUGAGAUAAAACGCAGUCAUCAAAGGCUACGUGGCUUGCUUGAUUAUAAGGAAAAUCAGACUGAAGCUAGAGAUUUAAUGGGUGAGUUUUCUGAAGGCCAAACCAUAGAAACGUCCGUCAUUAGUUUUAUACUUUCUCCUUUUCUAUAAUGCCCAUAUGUAUUUUGUAAUUUUGAGUUUCAAACUUUGUUAUCUUUGUUUGGUCAAUGAUUAACCUAACAACGUGUAGAUUUUGUGGCACAAAAAGUGUGCCGUUUGUUUUCUUCUCGGAAGUACUUUCCUAGGACUUAAUAACAUAUAUGUUGUGUUGCCCUCUAUUAGUGUAAUUGCUAAUUUUUAUUGAUCUGUGCUACAUCCAGGACAGGGUAAAUUGACUGACGGACAACGACCUUCUUAGACGAUCAAAGAUGAUCCUUGAAGAAACACAAGAAUCAAGCUGGGAGGCAUGCUUUAUAUUUUCCCCCCCAAAAAGACUAAACAGUGUGAUCUUCUCGGCUAUGAUAUACUGCGACAUGUUGCCAUAAGCUGAAGGUUCUUCAAAGUUAUUAUAUGUUAUGUUUUGCUAUUUUUUCCGGAGGGUGACUGGGUGAUGCCUGUGUUUUGUCGUCAAGAAUAAAACAUUCCCUCGACCUGUAAUUUAUCUUUGGACUGAAGGAAAUACAUUAUUUAAAGAAACAAAUAUAUCGAAUAAAUGCGCUGAAAGAGAAAAGCACAUAUAUACACAAUGUUUCGCAUGGGACCUAGAGGUAAUAGUUAGCAACGCAGACUUGUUACCUGAGGAAAUACUUGAAAUAUUCAGAAAAUAUCCAUCAAUCAUAAUAACUAUUCUCAUAUGACAAAUUUUUUAAAGGGAAUUCUCGUAUCACAAUUUGGGCUUUCAGUCGAGCCGCGCAUCUACACUGGGCCCAACAGGCCCAAUUUACAGGCCCAGCCCAGCUCAUGACCGGCUCCACCUCUACCUGGGUGUCUCUCGUCUCCCCCUCCACACCCCAAACGCUAAAACCCUCUCGGCGGCGGCGGCAGCGGGUGCUACCAGCGGAAGCUCCCGGCGCUCUUCUCCGCGAAGGAAAAGGGGGAAUACAGACAGAAGCUGGCUCCGAUGGACAGCGGAAGCGACUCCGAGAGCGCCCCCGAGGAGCUCACCGCCGUCCAGGUACGUCUGACUCCUCUCCGCUCGAGGAGCCCACAUCACGCGCGAGUAGGUUACGAUUCCGCACGCUUCGCCCGCGUAUGCCGCUCAAGAAGACGGUAGAUAGACGCGUAGAUGAGCUGGUAAGUGGAUUUUACUCUACGUGCCGUCGAUUUGGUUGGCCAAGCACGUAUUCUAGAUGGGUUAGGGUUAACAACCGCUUAACCUUGCUGUUCAUCUUGUUUCUUCACGCUUCGAGCUUCAUAUUGGAAUAUGCUGGAAGAGUGAUGUGUCCUUAUUAUUGUCUUUCAGGGUGUUGAGAAGCACGAAGAGAUCAGUAAAGUUGAGAAGGACAGUGUCAUCAGGUGUGUUUCUUAUGCUGCAACUGGUUGGAUGAACACUCUGCUCCCUAAUGUGCUACUUUAAUCUGUUUUUGUUUCUGUAAACAGUAAAUGAGUGAUGAGCAGUUUCUACUUGAUACUUGCAAUGGAGACUAGUUAUCCUCGUGUCCGUGAGCUAUGCUAGAUAGUACGUUAUGCCAUGUCUUAACAACACUUAUGUGUUAUAUUGGCUUCAUUAGAUGCAGGGGCUUCAUAAAUUUUGUUAGGACCAUAAGAAAAUGAUUUCAAAAUGCUCGAUUAAUCUUGAGAAAUUGGCCUCCUAGUAGAUAUGUUUCUAAUGUUUAUGCCUAAAUGUGGAGCUUUUUUAUGUUCAGUUUCUUGAUUUUAGAUGCCUGCAUAGUUCUGUGUAUAACUCAUGGUGUGUUCUGCUGCCAUCAAACGAUAUAAUCUUUAUGGACUUGUGGUCAGGCUUUCUUUCUUAUUACUUUUUUCCCUGAAAUAUCAAUACGAAUUAGCUAUCUGAAUAUUGUGUCUCUUGAGAUCAUCAGGGUGCUAAAAAAUCUUCUUCUGAUUUUAGUGUCUUUUAAGAUAAUAAUGCUAUGUUUUGUCCUUGCAGAGUAACACGGGAGGGAAAGGAGCGGAGAAAACGUUGGGCCAAACGGAGAACAUCAUCUAAACCAGAUAAGCAGGCACCACAAGAAAUAGAAGAUCAAGAUGCCCACCAGAGCGAGGAGAAUGAGACACAUACUAUGCCUGGCAUGCUCCCCAGUAGUGUAAUUGAAAUGCUAGCAGCACGUGAGAAGUAUGUGCACAUCUCUUGCACUAUUAGCUAUUCAAUUUUUUAUGGCUAAGUGAACUUCAUUGGUUACUUUGUCUUCAUUUCCCCUCAGGCAAACCUUCUCCUCCGACUCUGAGGAAGAAAAUGUUCAGAAGGUUCAGAAAAAGAAGAAGAGAAUGAAAACUUCUGGGUAUGUUUAAUGUCCAUGAUCUAAUAUGAACUUUCUGAAAUGAUACUUAUGCUUGUGUUCGGUAAUGUUUUCAGGCCUGAAACUAUUCUACUGAAGGAUGUCCGGUCAACUCAACAAGUGAAGAAUGCCCUUGAUUUCUUGGAGCAAAGGAAAAACCAGGUGCCAAGAUCGAAUGCAGUUUUGAAGAAUGCCAAUAAGGCUUUGCGUCUCCUUUCUUCAAAAGGAAAUUUUCUGAGUUAAGAGUGUUAGAAUAGCACAUUAUCUGAAUCUGUCUGUAGACAUUUCAACAGCUGAUAUGGUCAAGAGACUCAUAAUCAGUGUGUCUGAAAGGAAUCGAUUUGGCAUGUGAGAUGUGACGCAGAAUAUCCGUAGUGCUCAUGUUCCUAGUAACAAAUCCAAGGUCUGUAUGGUUCAUUGUGUGAGUUUUAGUUAUCUAUUUUUACGGAUCUUGUGUUGCAAAUUUAUAAUACAAAAUCAUGAAAGAUUUCAAAAUUUUGAUGACCAUGUAACACCUAUCAGAAGUUGCCAUAUUGUAUUUCUUCUUUGUUAUUGUCAUUCCUUAGUGAAUGUUUUACCUAAUUAAUACUAUGUUCUUCCACAUAACAGGCAUCAACAGGCAACAGCAAGUUUGUUCUGAGCAGGACGUGACCAUGUUGGGUCUUUGAAACAGUUCGAAUCAUUUCGAUAAUCCGUUUGAUCUGUUUUACCGAGAAGGUCUACAGUUCGAAUCCGUAUAGCCCUAAUAGAUACGUCUUUUUUUUCAUUUUAGGAUGGAUAUCUUGUGUUUCCUUUAGUAUAGUUUUUUCCAUAUUUCCUCAUUUAGUACUUGUUUAUAGACUCAAACAAACGUGCUGUUGCCUGUUGAUGCCUGAUCUUGUGUUAGGAAGAUCGUUUGAUCAGAACACAAUGCAGAAUAGUUC
rnacentral:lncRNA from 1 species